rnacentral:lncRNA from 1 species
AAUUUAGCAAGAGUCUCAAGCAAGUUGAAAAAGGAAAAGGAGCAACAACCUCUAGGCGUGCUUAAUCGUUAGUGUCUGAAGCAUUCAAGGAUCUGGCUUGUGUUUGAAAAUGAUCUUGGGCUACUAGAAGAUUGUGAAGAGGUAGUGAUGGGCGAAGCCAUUCUCAGAUUUUUCAUGCUUCUAUAAGAUGGACAUUUAUGUAUUUUAAUAGGUUGUGGCCUUUCAAAUUUUGCAGUCAAGUUCAAUGUCUUCACGAAGUGAGUAGUAGUAAAUCGAAACACGACCUUUUUGAGCAGACAAAUUCAACUAAGUAUAUGUUUUCUAGGUUUAUUUCAAAGCAACUAAAUUCUAAAUUUCUCAUGCUUCAGUUAGUAAAAGGUUUUGGUACAUUGGCACUUACUUUUUUCCAUUUCAUUUCCACUCACUUUCUAUUCUUAUAUUUUCCUAUUACAUAUCUCUCUUUUCUCUCUCUUUUUAGUGGGUGGAUUUCGGGUUUAAAUAAUUUUUUAUUAAUUAGUAAAUGUCUUUCUUGGCUACAGCAAGUCUGCAUUGCCAGCUUAUAAAAACAUUUACUCCUUAAUGAAUUUAUACAAUGUUGAAAUUUUGUUUUAGUUGUUGCCCCACCCAGACUAUGUUGAGAUUGAUAAGAACGAAUAGAAUGGAAAAGAGAGUCCGAUCACUAAAUUACAUUUAGUACCCUUAAUAAAGAAUAUGUUGAAUCAUUAGUUAAGGGUAAUUUUGUUAAAAAUAAUUUAUUUUUUUAGAAAAAUGAAAAAUAUAUUAUUGUAGAUUCAGCAGCUAGAAAGAAAAACAAAGCAAACAGAACCGCAGCAGCCAACAGGAAUAUCACAACACCAGCCAGCAAGCACAGCAACUCGACAACAAAGAGGAGGGUACAGCUUCAGGUAUGAAAGAUGGAGCAUCAGCGCACAGCACCAGAAGGCCCAAAGGAAGGCGGUGAAAAGAAAACAUGGAUAAUUCCAUCAACAACGAACACAAAAACCACUUGUUAGAAAUAAUUACGCAACACAAAUUUUAAAGAAGAAAACUUAAAUACAACCAAACCAAUACAUGAUUUUAGUCCAAUUAUAACAUCACAUAUGGUUUGCAAGAGGAGAAUUAUACUCCAGUUGAUCUAUUAGAGUGAUCCAUCGAUCUUCAAGUCUUCUUGCUCUUAAGGUUGAGCGAGCACAUUCAUAUAAGGAAGAGAGAAACCAAAAUCUAAUCUUGUGAUAUAAUAGUAUAUAAAAAUAUAAUAAAAACCUACAACAAGCACUAAAUAUAGGCCAUUGGUUUUCUCAAACAUUCAGGUUAACAUCAUCAAACAUCUAAAGAAAUUGAAAUCCACCUCCGAGAGCACCAAUCUCACCAUUGUUUUUCAUCUCUAGCUCAUCAUGUGUCUGACCUACCUGAUCGUGGAGCAUCCUUCCAUCAAACAAGCGAUUAAGUCAAAAUCUAAAGAUUAACAAUUAUAGUAUCCAUUCAUGAGUUUUUUAGAGCUAUGUAUUUUGUAAUCUCAGUAUAGAUAUUUAAUUCUCUUUAUACCUCGAUUCUCCAAUCAUAUGACUUUUUUCCGUAUUUUAUUCAAAUAUUAAUUUGAUGAAUAUCUUACUCAAUUUUAUUUAAUCACAUUUCAUUAUACUUUAUUUCGGUUUGACUACCCUCAUAAAAUUUUCAUUGUUUGGUUGAAAUCCCUUACUAGAGAUUUUUUCUUUUACUCAAGAAUGAAAAAAGUGAGAAAUGAAAAUGCUAUGACUCUAUGAGGCCCAUUGACUGGAUAGAGAGGGGAAUUGAGUUUGGUGCCCCACCCCUUAGGCUUUGCACCCCACUUUAUUAAAUACGGAAUUUAAAGUUCCGUAUCAAUAGGGAAAAUAAAAUUCCGUAUCUGUUUUAGUAUAUAAUGAGUGGUUGAAAAUGUGACACGCAUGCUUAAAUACAGUACGGAAUUUUAAGUUCCGUAUUCAAUAGGGAGAAUACGGAAUUUUAAAUUCCGUAUUUGAUAAAGUGGGGUGCCAAGCCCCAUAGGUGGGGUGCCAAACCCAACUCCCGAUAGAGAGAUAUAUAAGCGAGCCAACAGCCGUUUACUGACACAGCAAAUGGAAAAGGAGAAAAUGAAGUGUCCGUACUGCUCGGCGGCGGCUGGCCGUUGCGCCACCACGAGCUCCGGCAGGUCAAUAACGGAGUGCACGUCUUGCGGCCGGGUCAUGGAAGAGCGACAAUCGCAUCCCCACCACGUCUUCCACCUCCGCGCCCAAGACAACCCUCUGUGCCUCGCCACCUCCGAUCUCCCUCUCCCGACUCUCCACCACCAAAACGACGCCGGCGACGAGGAGGACCCUUUCGAACCCACGGGCUUCCUCACCGCGUUCUCCACCUGGUCCCUGGAACCCAGCCCGCUUUACCUUCAGUCCUCCAUCGCGUUCUCCGGCCACCUCGCUGAACUCGAGCGCACUCUCGAAUCGUCUUCUUCUUCUUCAGCUACAGUCGUGGUUGAUAACUUGAGGGCGUACAUGCAGAUUAUCGAUGUUGCCUCCAUUCUGGGCUUGGAUUGCGAUAUCUCCGAUCACGCUUUUCAAUUGUUCAGGGAUUGUUGCUCCGCCACUUGCUUGAGAAACCGCAGUGUGGAGGCUCUUGCCACCGCCGCUCUUGUUCAUGCCAUUCGAGAGGCUCAAGAGCCCAGAACCCUCCAGGUUCGUCUCUCUUUCCGACUUUCAUUUGCAAUUUUUGGUUGUGUUUCUGGUAUAAUUAUUCAGUAAUCAAUGGGGAAUUUUGAAGAAUCAUGGUUAUUUGUUGUCAAUUUAGUACUAUUAGCAAAAGAUUCACUGUGUUUUUUCAGUGGGAACAUGCUACUGUUUUGCCUGAUUGUAUAGAUGACCAGCUGAAACUUCAUCACUUUGUAAUAUGACAGGAAAUUUCAAUUGCGGCCAAUGUGCCGCAGAAGGAAAUAGGGAAAUACAUCAAGAUACUUGGAGAAGCUUUGCAGCUAAGUCAACCUAUUAACAGCAACUCCAUUUCAGUUCAUAUGCCAAGAUUUUGCACACUUCUCCAGCUCAAUAAAUCUGCUCAGGUAACUGGACUGUAAUUUCUUUAACAUUUGACAGCUUCGACUUUAUUGCGUUUUCGAAAAUUUAAAUGGUUGUUGUAUGUCUGUGAAAAAAUUCCUUUGCAUAAAUGUUCUAUGGUUCUCCCAAGUCGUACAUACGACUUUCAUCGAAUAUGGCUUUCCGCAGAAUUCUAUAUGUAUCUAUGAGAUUGAGUAUGGAAUUAUUUUCAAAUUAUUUCUUCAAUUAAUAGAAAAAGGGAAUAGUAAAUAUAUAUAAUAUAUCUACUAGGGAUUAUCUUAAAUUUGGUUAGGGCCUUAGGGGUGUCUAAGAAAGCAUUCUUUCACAUCACAUAUGUGUACCUUCGAAUCCUCUUUCCACGACUUUGUCGGCACCUUCUCUCCAUCAAUAAUAUCAACCAUUCGAUAUAUCCGCUCCAAAAAACUAUAACCCUAGAAAACAUUGGAACCACGAUAGAUUGCGAACCCAGCCACCUCUUGUGACAUUGUCCUCUUAACGGGUCCAAGCCCAACGACCAGCUCACCCUCACCUCACGGUGGUUCACCAUUUCCUUUAAUUUGCACCAGCAAAUUAAAAUGGUAGUGGUCAGGUGGCUGAGAAGGAAGCGAAGAACUGGGUGACGCAAGGAGUGAGAAGUGAAUGAAAAUGAACAAGUUAGGCAAAGCCAUGGUUUAAUUGGUUUAUGAGCUUAGAAUUUUUACAUAUGUAUCUAAUGGUCAUGAAACAGGGUUCUAAAUUGUGGACUGCAUCACGUGAUGCGGCCGCAAUAUUAUCGGAUCGCAAUUGCGGCGUGAUUUCGAUUCACCUAAAUAGCCGCAACGGAACCACAAUUCAGCCGCAACAGUUUGCAUUAUUUAAGAAAAUCACUCCGCAAUGGCAUCUCAAUGCCCGCAAUCGCUGUAGCCGCAUCCGCCAUCGCAACCGCAAUUUAGAACCCUGGUGAUUAUUGAUGAUGGAGGGGGGCUGCAAACAAAGCUGAAGGAGAGGGUUCCUGAUAUCAUCAUAUCCUGCUCAAUACAUCUACAAAGUUCUUAAUUUUAUGCUGCUGUCCAUUUUUGUUUUUUUGUAAACCAAGAGACAGCAACAGAUUGUAGGCCUUUAUGGAUACUUGUUGAACAGGUUCUAGGUCUUUAUGUCCUUGUGACAAAAUAAAGUUGGUAUUAUGGGCUACGUUGAAUACUUAUUACAUGGUAGACAUUAGUUACACUUUUAGAUGUCUAAGGAUCAAGUUGUGAUAGUGAAUUUGUUAAAAUUGCAUUCUUUUAUUUUUUUACUUAUAAUACAAAAUUCUGAGAAUGACAUGCAUUGUAUUUCAGGAACUGGCUACUCACAUAGGAGAGGUUGUGAUCAACAAAUGCUUCUGCACUCGUAGGAAUCCAAUUAGCAUCUCAGCUGCUGCUAUAUAUUUAGCUUGCCAACUUGAAGAUAAACGCAAAACACAAGCUGAAAUUUGCAAGGUAACUGGACUUACUGAAGUCACCCUCCGUAAAGUGUACAAGGAACUAUUGGAGAAUUGGGAUGAUUUACUUCCCUCUAAUUACACCCCAGCUGUUCCUCCUGAGUGGGCAUUCCCCACGACUGUAAUUGCCUCUGUUCGUCCUUGAACAAAGGUUGAUGCUAUAGAGGUUACUUCUUUAGACUCCGAAAAGUUGCCAGAAAUUAAACCUAGUAAACCUAAUGAGGUCUUAGUGCCUUCCAGUGGAAUACAUAAUAAUCAGAAUGUUACACAAGGAAUGGAUAUUGAUGUAUUCCAGCGUAACCACCACCAACCUGAACCUUUAGGAGAUGACACAAAUGGUGGGGCUAGUGUCAGUUAUCCAAAAUCAAGCCAACUUAGCAGUCCUCCACCAUCAAGUGCAAGCUCUGUUGUGAGGGCGUUUUCAGCACCACCUUCAUCGAGGCCUCCAAAUGUUCGAUUAGUGCAGUCACUUAAGACAAUGUCAGGUUAUCCCGAGCACUGAAAUUACUUCUUGUGCUAACACCUAAUAUGAUUUUGUUUCGUGUAUCACUGUAUUUAUAUGUACUGUAUAAUUUGUUUGUUUCUGAGGUGUGAGGCAGCUAUGUUGUGAUUGUUGCGUAUAGUUGAAAUAUGGAAAUGAUUUAUUUGGGUCUUUUAUUGUACCCUUUUUAUUUUGAAUUCAAGUUUGAAAUGGUGUGACUGUAAAAUUUUGACUGAAUUUUGAUUAAACGAAUUUCUCAUUUAUUUUUAAAGGAUUUUUUACUGCCGUUUUGAAAAGUGGGCUACUGAUGAAAUUACAAUUAAGUGUUUAUCGAUUUGUCCGCUCUAAAUUAUGGUGGUUCAGCCAGGUGUAUAGGAACGCUUGACCUAGCCUUUGGUCCCAAAACCCAUGGUGAGUGAAGAUACUUCACCUUGUUGGGUCAAGCUUCCUUAUAAAAGCUCGCUUGUUCCUUGUGUUCUUUGGGGUUUUUUAGUGUUUUAUUGUGAACUGUCAUUAAAGGCACCAUGAUUUGCCAAUUAAUUUGGACCUUUGGGGGCAGCAUUAAGUUAGAUUGGGGUUAUGGCCGCUCCUCCCCCUUUAUUGGGAAGUUAUGAGUCGUAAUGUGACCCUUGUUUAGGGAUGUCAAAAAUAUCCGUACGGCCGUACCCGCUGGUAAAUAUUCGCCACGCAGGGCGGGCGGGUACUGGUUAUGUUAAGCUAAAUUGGUAAUCAUUCAACUUUAAAAUCGAAGCUGGAUUCAUUACUGAAAGAUAACAAAGAAAAAAUGUAAUAACUUGAUUGAAGCACUUCUCCUUCUCCUGUUUUUUAAGUAUCGUUUUCUCUGUAAUUGCUUCCUUCUUGUUGCUCUAAUUUCGCCUUCUUAUGGUCUUUGAUUUUGCUCCUGCCUUCUGGCCUUUGAUUUUGCUCCUGCCCUCUGGUCUUUGCUUUUCUGAUAAUUGUUAUUUUCCAUUUUUCCCCUGUUUUUGGAUCUCUCCCUCCUCUUAGUAAUUUUCUUACUCUGUUUUCUUAUAUCAAGAAUUCUUUGUUCUCCCCUUUGAUUCUCACUAGUUCUCCCUCUUGUAAUUUUCUUGCUCUGUUUUCUCAUAAAGAAAACUCUGUCCACCCUCCCCCAAUUCUCACCGAGCUUCUCAUCAAAAUUCCCUUUUUAUAAAACUCUUUUAAUUACAAGUGCUUGUAAAACACUUAAUACAAUAAUAAAUAAAUUUAGUAUUAUUAUUUAAAAUUUAUAAUAUUUAGUCACAAUUUUUUUAUCUUUUAUUUUGACCCGCAAUAAGAAAAUCCUGAUGUUAAAUCGUGAAUUGCAGUCCCUCAUUCUAAUUCACUCUUUUUUUUUAACUCUAGCUUAGUUUUACUGCCCCAGUUACUCAUUCAAAUAAGGGUGGUAGGAGGAGAUACCAAUCAGUGUUAAUUUUUUGACAUUGUAGAAAUAUUGUAACUUAAAAAAAAAAAAAACCGAAAUAUUGUAACUUUUUCUUACUAAAUAGUUGCUUUUUUCAUUUUCUUAUAUAACCUUUACAUAUACAAGAAUAAUUCGAAUUUGUAAUUAUCUGCAUUUUAUCAUCCUCACUUCCUCACCCCAAAACAAUAGCCACCGAUUCAAUGUACUGACUAGCUCUACAGUGCGUCUCUCUAGCUAGUGCCAAGUUCUGUGACCAUGGAAGCUUCAAGGAUGUUACUGUUCUCACCAUUAACAUCUGCUCCAAACGCACGCAUGAACCAUUUGAAUCACUUAGUUAGAACUAGAACUCCUAGGAAGAUAGUGAGCAUGGCAAAGGAAAGCAGCGACGACAGCAGCAUCGGAACCAUAGAGAAAGCAGCCAUGGCCGGCGGUUUAAUCCCCCCGCCAGUAAUUGCAUGGUCUCUAUACACUCUCAAAACAACAGGGUGUGGUCUUCCCCCAGGUCCAGGUGGAUCAAUUGGUGCUAUUGAAGGAGUGAGCUACCUGGUGGUUGUGGGAAUAGUGGGUUGGUCCUUGUACACCAAAACCAAAACCGGCUCAGGUUUGCCCAAUGGUCCAUUCGGGUUGUUGGGUGCUGUUGAAGGUCUCUCCUAUUUGGCACUGGUUGCCAUUGUGGUUGUGUUUGGGUUGCAGUAUCUUGACCAGGGUUACAUUCCAGGUCCUCUUCCAGCUGAUCAGUGCUUCGGCUAGGUAAGGUUUGGUUGGUUUGGUUUUCUUCUCUGUCUCACAAUUUGGUUUCCAAUUGGAUAAUGUGAUUUGGGCCAGUAGAACUCUAUCUUGUACUUGUGGACAUGGUUGCUUGCUCCAUGUAUCUUAGGAAUAUCAAUUUACUUUGCUCUACCUUCUUGUUGUAUUCAUAUUUUUCUUGUAAUGGUAUGUCAAGAAAUCACAAAGAUCGUGUGGUUAGUGUAUUAAAAAGAAAGAGAAUGACAAAGAUAAAAUAAUAUAACUCAGGAUUUGAUAAAACAUCUAAAACAAGUACCACCAAAAUAUGUAUACGAUUAGUUUUCUCAAGCAUUCUGGUCAAUAUCAUCAAACAUCUAAAAAAAAAUCAGCCUUCAGACUUCGAUUUGGUGCAGCGUUGCAUCGAUACCAUCGGCGUACUCCACCUCCAUAGUGCAUCAAGUGUCCGAUGAGCCGGUAUCGGCGUACUCCACCUCCAUAGUGCAUCAAGUGUCCGAUGAGCCGUGAGCGCGAAGAAUGCUUCCAUCAAAUAAAAAAGCUAUCGAAUCAACAUAAAGAUGGCCACUGGUAAAAAUAAUAUGUAAAGGAUAUUCACCAUAUUCCACAUCAAGAAAAAAAAAGUGAUUUUACAUAAAAAUAAACUUUCAUACUUGCGCCCCAGACAAUUUACUUAAUUUACUUGAUUACGAUGGUAUGAAACUCAGAUUGAUUUUUGACUAAAUUAGAAGUACUGGUCAGAUAACUAGACAAAAUAGUGAAUUAAUGGUUCAAUUGGUAUAAACCUAUUAAUUUUGUGCACAAACAAAGAAAAAAUAAAGAAAUUAGUUUUCUCAAGCAUUCGAGUAAAUUGAAAUAAGCCUUCGACUCCGAUUUGGUUUGGUGCAGACUGGCAUCGAUUUUAUCGACAUCCUCCACCUCCAUAGCGCAUCAGGUGUCUGAUGAGCGCGAAGAAUGUCCAUCAGACAAGAAAGCUAGAUGUUGACUCAAUUGCUUUCUUGUUUGAUGGAAGGAUGCUCCGUGCUAAUCUGACACCUGAUGAGCUAGAGAUGAAAGAUGGCGAUACAAUUAAUGCAAUGCGCAAUGGAAGCGUUGUUGGCCCAGUUCACGGAGGAUGAUACCGCCUUGAUACCAUGAAGAAAUCACAAGGCAUAGUGGCUAGUGUAUUGAAAAGAAAGAGAAGGCAUAGUGGCUAGUGUAUGGAAAAGAAAGAAAAGGAUAAAACAAUAUUGUUAGUAACCAAUGAUGAAAUGCUAAUCCCUAUUUAUACUAACUAUGUAUUGAUAAUUUGUUGUUGGUUACCAAUGAUGAAAUACUAAUCCCUAUUUAUACUAAUAAAGAUCGCAUAUAUCUAAUUAAAUAAAAAACAUAUCAAGGUUAUUCAAAAAAAAAAUCAACGAAUAUAUGGAAACUAAUCCAUGUUACCCUAUAUUUUUAAUUUAACAAUAUAAUUCUAAUUGCAUAGUUUCCAAAUUACCUAUAAUAUAUUUUCUUAAUCUGGGUAUAAAGAUUUAGUUUCCCUUAUACCUUGAUUCUCCAAUAUUCCCCCUAUAAUAUAUUUUCCCACUAUAUAUUGAUAAUUUGUUGUUGGUUAUCAAUGAAUAAUGAUGAAAUACUAAUUCUAUCAUCCAUAUCUAAUUAAAUAUGAAACAUAUCAAGGAAUAUAUGAAAACUAAUCUAUGUUAUCAUAUAUUCUUAAUUUAACAAUAUAAUAUAUUUUCCUAAUCAUAGUAUAGAGUAUCGACUAUAGAGAUUUAGUUUUUCUUAUACCUAAAUUCUCCAAUAUUCCCCUUACCCCUAUAAUAUAUUUUCCUAAUUUAGUAUAGAGAUUUAGUUCUCCAAUUACCCAGAUUCUCCAAUAGUAUGUUUGUAUACUGGUUGAUUACGGUGUUAUGAAACUCAGAUUGAUUUUGACUAGAUUAUUAGAGGUAGUACUAUAGAUAACUAGUCAAAAUAGUGAAUUAAUGGUUCAAUUGGUAUAAACCUAUAAAUUUUGUGCACGUGCAAAGAAAAAUUUAUUAGCAUUUACCUAGUAGGUAUUGAGCAAUUUUUUAUUAGCAUUUUGAGCAAUUGAAAAUCACACUUGUUUGGGCAGAACUAUAUAAAGGGUCCUUUAAAAAAAUAUAUAAAGGGAAAUAAGAAUAGAGAAGAGGGAUUUAAAAUUGCAGCAUUCUCAUUUCUCAAGAAGCAUAGCAAGAAGAGCUAUAAGUUUAGUGUUAAACACAAAACCUACAUGAUCUAAAAUGCAUCUAUAAAAAUAUUAAACUAAGUUACAGAACUAUGUGUUUUCAUCUCAGACCAUAUUCUUAAAUGUUUUUAUACGGAACCCGAAAGAAGAAGGAAUAAUGAAGCAAUUUUGGCAAUGUGAUAUUAAAAAGAGUUAACCAAUUAUUGAUUUUGAUGUAAAAUCUUAAUUUUUUAUGGAAACUUUCACAUGUUUUUUAACCAUCCAAACAUCAGAAUUAUAUUGCAAUCUCUCAACUCUAAUGAGUUCUUGUAUACUCCUCCAUGCAACAUCAUGCUUUUGUCUUCUAAGCCAUAAAUGAUUUAGUAAACAUCUAACUUAGCUCUUGAAGUGUUGAUAAAUGUUAUAGACAUUUGUUCUAUUUUUAAUAUCACUUCUAUGAUGUACAAAUACAAUACACUUAAAAUACUUAAAUUGCACAAAUUUCUUUUAAAAAGAAAACUCGUGCAAUUCACUCCAAAUUAAUCCAUUAGAGAUAAAAAUAAAAAUUUAUAAAUUGAGACCAAGAAUCACUUAAAUAAGCUUCUAAAACACUUACUGUAAUUUCAUACGCAAUAUACACGCAAUUUAGAGUAAACUAGAUCCCAACGAAGCAAGCAAGCAAUGCACGGGACAUGAUACAGCUUGUUUUGGUUUCAAUGGAUUAAUAUCAUUGUUGGAAGCUAAUAAUGUACAUAGAGAAAUGAGUUGUUCAUGUAAACUAUUUCACUAUACAAUGUUGAAAAAAAAGCUUUAUAAAGUUUGAAUUGUAUUAAUUUUAGAUGAAUUCUGUGUGCUUUUUGGUUGGUAAGCUAUUUCAGGGUAACAUAUUGUUGUGAGUUAGAAGUAUAUAUCCUUUAGGCAAAUCAUGACCGGACAUUAGAGGAUCCAAUUGACACCAGUCAAAUAUUUAAAAAUGGCAAAAAGCUAUAACUAACGCAAACUAAGCAAAUGGUGGCAGGGACAAAAGCAUUGAUUGAGAAAGACAGAGGUCCUUCUUUGUAGGAGACCAAUGAGGAAGGACAGCAACGGUUCCUUUUGUAUUAUGGACUUCUUACCAUGCAACUGGUUUUCCUUUUCUUUUUGUUGAGAACCCCUGCUAUUCCUCGUAUCAGGUAUCUUUUUCCUUUUCACCAUUCAACAAAAAUCAUAUGAUUGCUCUUUCCCAAUUUCAUCUAAAGAGAGACUUCAAUCCCAGAAUCUAGGAAAACCAAACCUCACUAUAAUGUGAAAGAUUAGUAACCUGGUUUUGACUUGAGUAUGUUCAUGAAUGUUCUUUGUGUAACAAUGCACCUUCGUCAAUUAACUUAUUUUUCAUCAACCCUGUGAUAACAUAAGUUCUUCCUAAAUUUCAUUUUGAAUUUAAGAUCAAUAUGAGAUGAUAUUCUUAUUACUUUUUUGGUUUUUCAGGGGUCCCAACCGUUGAUAGAAAAGCACUAGCUAGGUGAAAGGUGGUGUUUCCGGCGGCGUGUUUGUUUUGGACGUAAACCUUUUGGCCGGAACCCAGAAAAUAUUGUGAGAAACAGGAGGAACGAUGUCUUCUCCUCAUAACUCUUCUCCCGAUAACUCCACACCGGAUAACUCAACACCCGAUAACAGUACACCUGAUGAUGCCGAUGGCUCUUCUUCGCCGCCAUCGCCUCCAUCACAAUCCCCACCUCAACAAUCCCCACCUCAACAAUCACAAUCACCCUCACCACCACCGCCAUCAGAGAACUCAACACCACCCCCUUCUCCUCCUCCACCGAGUUCAGGAAACAACCCAACCCCUCCAUCAUCCAAUGGGUCCCCACCUCCUCCUCCAGUAUCAGGCCAUUCUGACUCUGGUUCACCCUCGCCUCCACACAAAUCAUUGCCAACUCCCCCUUCCUCGGGAAACUCCAGUGACAACAAUGACAUUAGCAAUAAGGCAUUAGUUGGAGCAGUGCUUGGGGUAGGGGCCGUUCUUCUCAUUAUGGUAGUUGUUUGCGUUAUUUGCUCAAGGAAGAAGAAAAAAACCAAGCAAAUGUACUAUUAUGGAGAGCAUCCAUCUAUGGGAAAAGGUGCCAAACCUAACAUAACCCCUUAUUAUUUUUUAGCACAGGCCUUAGAUUUUAGUUUUUGAUAGGCAGAUUUUAGUUUUACAUGUUGUGCUCCAAUUACUGCUAAUUUUUCAAUCAACCGCUGCAAUGAAUGACUUUACACUCUAAAGUACUCACUUUAUAUGAGUUAAAUUCCCUAAGCAAAAUGAAUGUUUUGUGCUUGAAAACAAAAUUGAGUUUCAUGUGAAUUGUGUGGUUUUGUGGUAUACUCUGAUUGCAAAUAAAAAAUACUAUCAUCACAUUGGCAUCAUGUUUAUCUAAUUGAUAAUAAUUAUCUUGAAAGCUCUGGGGUUAAGAACUGCUACCUGAUUCCAGGACUUGUUUUAGACUCCAGAACUGGAACUUUUAGCACACUAGUAUUUUCUAUUGAAUCAAAUUUUUGAGAUCUCCAUGGUGUCUAAAAUAUAUGCACAGGGAGUAACUAUUACAACAGUGGGCCACACCCUUACAACAGUGGGCAGCAUCCUUACAACAGUGGGCAGCACCCUAAUUACUAUGGAGGUCCUCAUGGGGAUCAUGUUGUGAGGGUACAAAAUGGAAUGGGUCCACCAAACGGUGGUGGAUGGGGAGCUCCGCCACCUCCUCCAAUGAUGAACAGUACCGACAUGAGCUCGAAUUACUCAGGAGGACCACCCGCUCUGCCUCCUCCCUCGCCAAGCCUUGCAUUAGGCCUCAAAGGGGGCACCUUCAGUUAUGAGGAAUUGGCAGCCGCCACCAAUAAUUUCAAUGAUGCCAAUUUGAUAGGACAAGGUGGCUUCGGUUAUGUCCAUAAGGGUGUGUUGCCUAAUGGUAAGGAAGUGGCAGUUAAGAGCUUGAAAUCAGGAAGUGGGCAAGGAGAGCGCGAGUUCCAAGCUGAGAUUGAUAUCAUUAGCCGUGUUCAUCAUCGCCAUCUUGUGUCACUUGUUGGGUACUGCAUUUCUGGUGGGCAGAGAAUGUUGGUCUAUGAGUUUAUCUCCAAUAACACUUUGGAAUUCCACCUUCAUGGUAAGUACUGUACAUUCUUUGAACUCAUGUCAGUUAAGAUUUUGCUCUUUAUGUUGUUCUGUUAAUACUUUCAAGUGCAUGUUUAGAUCAUCCAAUUUUUUCUCAGAAUCAAUUCUGACAUUCAGAAACUACUCGUAGAAUCAAUACUGACUUUAGAAUGAACACUAGCAGGAUUUCUAAACAUGCUAUGUAGUGCAUGUACACUUCAAUUGAAGGAUUCAUAUGAAAUCAUUGUCAGAUAUAAUACAGUUCAAUUACCUUAUUUAACAGCUUAAGCUAAUGAGAUAUCUAGUCAGGACCAGGAAAGAUACAUUUUUUAAUACUCUAAUAAGAUUUAGAUAUGGUACUUUUUCUGUGACCAAUAUUUCUUGUCAUGAAAAUUGCUAAUGUAGUUGAUGAUGGUUACUUGCAGGAAAAGGUAACCCUACCAUGGAUUGGCCUAGUAGAAUGCGGAUUGCAAUAGGAUCUGCUAAAGGGCUUGCCUAUCUUCAUGAGGACUGUAAGACUCUUAUGCCUCUAAUAUAUUCUUUUUCUAUUCAUUUUCUUGUCUGAUUAUAUUUUCAUUUUUGCAUAUGCACUCAGGUCAUCCUCGCAUAAUCCAUCGUGAUAUCAAAGCUGCGAAUGUCCUUAUCGAUGACAGCUUCGAAGCAAAGGUUCAACACGUUUAUAUAUUUGAUCAAGUUAAUUUAAGUUCAUGUGCACGUCCUUACCAAUAUGAUGUUGCUGGUGCUAAUUAAUUAUGCCAACAAUGCAUUUUAAUCAGGUUGCUGAUUUUGGAUUGGCUAAGUUGACUACUGAUAACAAUACUCAUGUAUCAACUCGUGUCAUGGGAACUUUCGGGUAAUCUUUCUUCACUAUGCUUUUAUUACCACCAGCAACUUUAAUAAAGAAAUGUGACAAAAAUGAAAGGGUCUUUGCUCAUGAUAGAACAUGGUUUACUGCAUUCAACUGUAACCUCUCACAUUAACUAAUCAUAAUGCAUUUCUAACUAGAAUACUUCAGCAUUUAUUUAAAAAAAAAUUGUUCAAACGUACCAAAAUUGAGAGAAAAAAAACACACAGCAAGAACAUAAACAAUUGGAUUUAUAAAUAAAACAAUCCUGCUUGAUAACAUGCCUCUUCAUGCUAACGCAGGUACCUUGCCCCUGAAUAUGCAUCAAGUGGAAAAUUGACAGAGAAAUCUGAUGUUUUCUCAUUUGGGGUCAUGCUAUUGGAACUCAUUACUGGGAGGCGACCUGUGGAUGCCUCAAGUGCCAUGGACGACAGUUUAGUGGACUGGGUUAGUAUUCUCAUUGGUUGGAUCAGCUUAUUUUCCACAGAAUUAAUUCUGGCACUCAAAAGCUACUCACAUAUGUUUCUUCCCAGAAUUGAUUUUGACUUUAGAAUUAAUUAUAGAGAGAUUUUCAAACACGUAUGUUUAGUUCCAAGUCCUUCACUUUUUUCCCUCAUUUAACUAAAACUUUUGGAAACGAGCAGGCUCGUCCACUAUUGAAUCGUGGAUUGGAGGAAGAUGGCGACUUUGGAGAGUUGGUGGAUCCAUUUUUGGAGGGAAACUAUAAUCCUCAAGAACUGAAAAGGAUGGCAGCUUGCGCUGCUUCUAGCAUCCGCCAUUCGGCCAAGAAGCGUUCUAAAAUGAGCCAGGUAUACAAGACUCCUUAAGAUAUAGUAGAACUUAAUGUCAUGCCUAGUUCACUAGGAUGAAAAUUUUGAAAAUAGCAAUGAAUUUGUAAAUUAUGUGCAGAUUGUAAGAACAUUGGAAGGAGAUGUCUCACUAGACGACUUGAAGGAGGGGAUUAGGCCCAGCGCUGUUCCCGCGGCUUCUGUGAGCUCAGAGUAUGACACAAUGCAAUACAAUGCCGAUAUGCAAAAGUUCAGAAAGGCAGUGUUCAGCAACAGCACGGAAUUCGGCACUAGCAGCUGCUCCAGUGGUGAGCAGAAAUAGCCUUAAGAUGUUCAUCUAAAGAGGUUGGCUAGUGAUUCUGCAUUGCUUAUCACACAUGUGAAAGAAAUUUUAAGGGGUUGGGCAAAAAUUCAAGAGGGUUGCUUCUAUUAAUUUUAUUCAUUGUUUUGUUGGUAUAUGUUGGGGAAGCGAGACCUCAUGCCGCGGAGAUCAUUGAGCUUGAAGAUUUCGUUUCGGGUGCGUUUUAGGCGCUAAGCUUACAUUGUCAAUAUCAAUCUGACCUGAAAUUUUUUGUUCACUGUUUUACAUUCUGUAAUAUGGUUAUUGUGUACUUAAUUUGGGAUAUAUAGCCAUGCCUUCAAAUGAAAUCAUCGACAUAACUAUUAUUCGUAUUAUUCAGGGGUGUUUCUUUCCUACAUAUAUAUUGUGUUUGCUUCACAAAUGAAACUAGGUCAAAAUACUUCCUAAUUCUGUCUACAUUGGGCAGUUAGGAAUUAGGGUUCUUCUUGAAAAACUCAGUUCUUCUAACACAAUCAGAAGUAUAAAUAAUUUAUGGCAAUAAUUAAUUAGCUUCAUUCUCUUUGGUUUUAACUAACACCACUAUGUUCAAAAAAACUAACACCACUACAUAAAUAUUCAUAAGCAUCCAAAUAAGAGGGAAGAAAAAGAGUACCAGCGAGCGUAGCAUCGGAAGCUUUACUUGGACGGUGCGAGGGGUGAAAGGAUGAGAUCGAGAAAGCCAAAAUCAAAUGCAGUACAGCAACAGCGGGAAGCUUCAAAGCUUUGCUUUGAUCGAAAUCGGUUAACAAGGACACUUCUGAUUGAUUACAUUGCUUUUACAUUGCUUCAAUUCAUUUAUGCCUUUAAGUUUUGAAAAAUACGAGAUUACCAUCAAUACAUAGAAUUUUGUUUCUUCAAUGAAGCUUCCUCCCAGACAAUUUGCUUUUUUUUGACGCUAUAUAGUCAUCCAUUCUCAAACCAACAAAGUAGCAUAGCUAGUAAGGUAGAACCUAGUGAUGAAAGUGGUUUAAGGCCUUGGGGUUGUAUCGGUAUUGGAAAAGAAUUUGUGGGAAGAGAUUAAACUAGUUAACAUGAUCGCAGAGUGUCACUUUAAAAAAAAAUCUCAGAGUCUCGAAUAUUAGUCACAUAGUUGCGAACGACGGGAAUACAUUAAAAUACAAAAAAUAAGUUAUCCAUCUUGUAGUACUCUAUUUUGAAGUUAAGGUAUUACCGCCGAUAAUAAUAAUAAUUUCAUCGCGUAAAAUAUUCACAUUAAAGAGUAAAAUGAAUAAACGAUCGGUCAUGAAAUGAGCUUCAUUUAAGCGAUGAUUGAACACUCUGGUAAGGAUAGGGGUGAACAAUCACAAAUUGUCAUUUUUUGGGACUAGUGAAUUACUUUUGCUGGCCGUAUCAUGUCUAUUUCACCACUUUGGGAAACUUCCAUAUAUGAGUAGCAUUCUCCUUCAAUAACGUUUCCCCCCUUUGUUUGUUGUCCUUGGAUAAUGUUAAGAAAACUAUUAUAAAAUAAAGAAUUUUAAACUUGUCAUGGUUAUGUGCCCAAAAAAAAAAAAUUAAAAAUAUAUAUCAAUUAUUAUGCUUCUACUGGAAAUGUCAUUUCUGCAAUUAAAACAACUGCAGGGCCAAAAUGUUUAUAAUUCCUUUUAGUAACGGUUCAAUAUGUCAUUCAAGUACUUAAAAAGCAUUAUAAACGUCUAAAAUAUAAUUCAAUAUAACGUUUGUUUUAGGAAAAUUUUAAUAAUAUGGAAAUUGAUAGAUGGCAUGACACCAUCUGAGCACGAAACAUACAAAAAGCUACGUGCCUGAAUGGAGAUGAAUUUGUUAUCAAUUUCAUUUUUUGUCUCUGCAUUCAGAAAAUCCCUUUGUUUUCUGUUAAGCUGCCAAACUGGAUAAAAAAGACUUUCGUCCGAUUCAUCUCGUGCCAUAAAGCAACAUUCUGUAUUUAUGGAUAUAAAAACAGAAUGUUAGUACUGAAGAAUACACUCCCUCCAUUUUCACAGUCUCUUUUCUCAGCCAUACUUGUUGAAGCAAAAAAGGGGGAGAAAGCCUAGGAAAGGUGUAGAGCAUUGGUCCUAACAGCAUGGCUACAGCAACAUGGCUGGCCUUGUGUAUCCUUGUUAUAAUCUGCAAUGUGAGCUUAGCAGAUAGAGUUUUGAAAGAAAAAGAAUCAGGAAAUUUUGCUGAGGAAGAAAGUCAGGGAGUUCUAAAAGGGAUGAUCAAUUUCUUAUGGCAGAGUGGAAAGUCUUCCUAUGAACCUGUUUGGCCUGUGAGUUCAUCCAUCACAUUAAUUUAUAAAUUAUGACAUAUUUAGUAAUUAUGCUACUAUGUGUUUUGGUUAUUUUUUUAUAAUGUGUAUCUUUCUAGCAUCUGAAAAUUGAAAUGCAUUGUGCUGGUUGAUUGAGCAGGAAAUGGAGUUUGGUUGGAGAAUUAUAGUGGGAUCAAUCAUUGGAUUUUUGGGAGCUGCGUUGGGGAGUGUUGGAGGGGUAGGAGGUGGAGGAAUUUUUGUCCCUAUGCUUGCUUUGAUCAUUGGCUUUGACCCCAAGUCUUCUACAGCCAUUUCCAAGUGUUAGUAUAUAUAGCUCCAUACACAUGGUGUUUUUGUUAAAUAGUCUAAUUAAGCAAUGAUUCAUUAGCUAAUUUGAGAAACUUAUUGGUAUAAGUUGGAAACAGGUUAUGGACAUAAGCUCUUAUUCGCAAGCUAAUCUGAACAACUUAUGAAUAUAAGCUCAAAACAGUUUAUAGUAGCAUAAGCUACUUACAUAAGCGCUUAUACUAUAAGAAAUUCAAAUAAGCUAUUCUAAACCGAGCUAUAUUCUGUUCUGCUUAUUCUUGCAUGCUAAACAUGGACGUUUUCUAAUAUUACAUGAGAAUGCUGAAAAACAUUGAUCUAGAAAAUUAGACAUAUUAGGCUAUUGCAGCUAAAUUAGUGUCCAGAUGAUUCAUAUCAUAGCUUUUGGUUUCAAUUUAAUAAUGGCAGGUAUGAUUAUGGGUGCAUCUUUAUCAACUGUAUACUACAAUCUGAGGCUUAGACACCCAACACUAGAAAUGCCGCUUAUAGAUUAUGACCUGGCCAUGCUUUUCCAGCCAAUGCUGAUGCUUGGAAUUAGCAUCGGUGUUAUAUGUAAUGUCAUGUUUGCUGAUUGGAUGGUCACAGUUUUGCUUAUCAUCCUGUUCAUAGGUAAUAAACUUCCUUACUAGCACUUGUCUCUUCAUCUUGAUUUAUUGUGUUUAACAUAUUUAAUCUCUGAUUGAUAUUCAUAAUGCCUUAUUUCUAAUUUUCUUGGUUUGGUAACAUGGGAAUACUUGUUGCCAGGUACAUCAACAAAAGCUACAUUCAAAGGCAUAGCUACAUGGAAAAAGGAAACAAUGAUUAAAAAGGUGAAUUUACCUUAUGCACUUCCUAAAUAUUUUUAGUUGAGUCUCUCAUCUUCAACUUGGCGGAACGAUCAGAGCACUGAACUACUUGACUUUCAGGAAGCUGCUAGGCAAUUGGAAGUUGAAUCAAAACCUGGUGGUAAGUUCUGAUAUGCCAGUAUAUAAUUGGAACUGGUUGAUAAAACAGAUUAAGAAUAACUAACAUCAUGCCAACCAAUUUGGAGCACUAUGGUAAUAGAACAAGUUCCCUGGCAGAAUAAAUGUCAGAUAUGGCUGAAGUCAUUUCCCCUGAUAAAGAGAUCACAAUUAAACUACUUUUAGUUAACACAAACAAAAAAAGUACUUUUACACAAAAUCUGCUGCAGUUUGUAAUUAACAUUGGAAAGAAGUAGUAGACAAUAUCUGCAGUAUUUACUGUUGGAAUGUAAUAGUUCUUAGUUAUGAUCCCUCAUUGUAGAUGCUUCUGCAGAAGACUACAAGCCACUACCAAGUGGUCCAGCUGAUUCCCAUGUUGAAAAGGUAAUGCAAGGGUUUUUCAAAAUCAUUUAGACUUUAGAAGUCAGCUAGUAACUUAUUUAGGCUUAUCUACUUCUAAAAUUUAUCACACGCCGUGUAUGCAGGUCCCUUUACUGAAGAACAUUUAUUGGAAAGAAUUAUCACUCCUUGUGUAUAUCUGGGUGGGUUUUCUCCUUGUUCAGAUUGCCAAGGUAAUUAAACCAUUAUGCUCGGUUUGAUUUUUUUGAUUCCUUAAUCACAACAUGCAGCUGGUGGGUUUUGAUUUAUGGGUUCUGAAUAUAAAGCGAGAGAAAGGUGCUGCUGUUAUCAGUGUGUCACUAGAACCAUUCAUACAAGAAGUAACUUAUUUCUAAGGCAUACAUUUCUUUAUGAACUUCUAGCCGAUGCCAAUUUCUUCCAGAAAUUGAUACUAUUUAGCCUGUAACUGAUGAAUCAUAUGUUGAUAAUGGAUCUAAAAUGAUUCACCUGUUAAACUGUUCAAAGUUUACCAAGAUAUGGUUAAUGAAUGCACUUCUAUCCAUUGCUAUGCAGACGUACUUCAAGACUUGCUCCGUCCAGUACUGGAUUCUUAAUUUCUUGCAGGUAAAGUAACUUUUAAUGUAUGUAGGGUACUACUAUAGACAUGACAAAUGUUUCUGCAAUGAUCUCUAUUUGUAUGAUUACUGACUCCAAUUUGCUAAGUUAACAAACCCAAAAAACAUGACAUAAAAAUGGCAGUAGAACUGUGUAAAAAUUUGUGAUUAAAACAGUUUGCCUUAAGAAAUUAUAAGACAAAUGAACCUAAAUUUGUCAACAAAAUGUAUCAAUUCCACCAACUUGUGCAAGAGGUAAGAGAGGCAACCUGAAACAGAACAAUACUAGGCACUUAAUUUUAAUGGAAAGAAAAUGAUGAAAUUUGCAGCAUGGAUGUCUCAUCCUACUUAGAAGCACCGGUAUUUGUAUUGGUAUCCGCUAUCAAGCAAAUCUAGUAGUUUUGAAAUGUGUGACCCCGAGUCACCAAGGACUAAUAACAUGUUUGGACCAGCUUAUAUUUCCUCAGAAUUAACUCUAGCAUUCAUAAGCUAAUCACAUAAGCUUCUCUCCAUAAUUGAGUAUUGUUUUAAAAUCAAUUGUAGAAUGAUUUCUUAACAUGCACUAAAUGAAGUUUGAUUGGCCAAUUCAAGGUUCCUAUUGCGAUCUCUGUUGCGCUUUUUGAAGCCAUAUGCUUAUACAAAGGAACUAGAGUGAUUGGAUCAAAGGGAAAGGAAAUUACAUGUUGGAAGGUUCAUCAAAUUUGUCUCUAUUGUUCCUGUGGAAUUAUAGCUGGUAUGGUUGGUGGAUUGCUUGGUUUAGGAGGUGGCUUCAUUUUGGGGCCAGUGUUUCUAGAAUUGGGAAUUCCUCCUGAGGUACACUCUUCACCGCUCUUGUUUAUUUACUAUUUCAAUUUUCACUAGCUAGAACAAUCUAAUCAAGAAAAAUUUGACCUUGACACAUGGUUCUUUGUUGUAGGUAGCAAGUGCAACAUCAACUUUUUCCAUGCUUUUUUCAUCCUCCAUGUCAGUGGUGCAAUAUUACAUUUUAGACCGUUUCCCAGUACCCUAUGGUAAGCACAAGCAGCAAAAAACAAAACUAGAAUUUGAAAUCCAAAGUUGUAAUUUGUGAAACUUGGUGGUUAAUUGAUUGAAAUUUGAAACUUACUUUUUUUUGUUCAUCUCUUUUUCUGCAGCUGCUUACUUUUCUUUGGUUGCAACCAUAGCUGCCUUGGCUGGCCAACAUGUGCUGAGAAAGAUAAUUGCAAUCCUUGGCCGAGCAUCCAUUAUCAUCUUCUUACUUGCUUUGACUAUUUUCAUAAGCGCAAUCAGCUUAGGUAAAUUCUGUGAUUUUUAUUGAGCUUUCUUUUUCAACAUUUUUCAUUUCUUUCAAUGAUGUUUAUUUAUUCUUCUUUUAAUGUAUCACAGGUGGGGUGGGAAUAGAGAACAUGAUUGAGAAGAUGGAGAACCAUGAGUAUAUGGGGUUUGAAAACCUCUGCGAUCAUUCUUAGGUGUGUUUUGUCUGUAUGACUAGAGAGCUAGAGUAGUUAUUCCAAGUAGUUAAAUGGCCACGGAUUCCACUUUCAUUCAAGUGAAGCAAAGAUUGUAUGUUAUAUCAUGUAUUUUCUUUUUCUAUUAUGCAAUGGUUGGCUGCAUCGUAAUUUUUGGCAUCUCAAUAUUGAUGUUAAGUAUUUUAAUUACUUUGAUUUUCUAAGUGCAAAUUAUAUUUAUCGAAGACAAACAAAUCAACAGGACAGGAACCGUGUGCCCAGGAAUGUAGGCAUUAGGACAUCUUCUCCAAUAAAGGAAAUGCAUCUAACAGAUCACGGGCCCUAAAAAUAAAAGUUUCUACUAGAGAGUGAACACUCGUGGCCCACCAUAGUUUGAUUAGGGAAAUAUAACCACACAUUCUCUAACCAAAUCCAAUUCUCCCUCAAUAUGUUCCUUAAAAAAUCUGAUUAGUGCGUCUGCUUCUUCACCCUAACUGACGAAGAGAUCUUGGCGGAAUUGCCACAUAUAAAAUUGAGAUUAUAGCGGGAAUAUUGGAAAAUCUUUUUUAUUUAUUGGAAAGCUAAAUAUUGAAAAAUCUAUGUAUAAGAGAAACUAAAUCUCUAUGAUCAGAUUAUAAAAUAUAUCAUAUGUAAUUAGGAUUAUAUUGUUUAUGAAUAUAUCAUAACAUGGAUUGGUUUCCAUGUAUUCCUUGAUAUGGUUUUUAUUUAAUUAGAUAUAUGUGGUCUUUAUUAGUAUAAAUACGAUUAGUAUUUCAUCAUUGGUAACCAACAAUAAAUUAUCAAUACAUAGUAGGAAAAUAUAUUAUAGAGAGAAUAUUAGAGAAUUUUGGUAUAAGGUAAACUAAAUUUGUAUACUCAAAUUAGGAAAAUAUAUAAUAGGUAAUUUGGAAACUAUCCAAUUAGGAUUCUAUUGUUGAAUUAAUAUGUUAACGCUGAUUAGUUUCCAUAUAUUCUUUGAUAUGUUUCUUAUUUAACUAGAUAUAGGUCAUCUUUUUAUUAGUAUAAAUAGGGAUUAGUAUUACAUCAUGAGUAACCAACAACAAAUUAUCAACGCCCAUCAGUUUUAUUGUUUUCAUGAGUUUUUUAAGUUGUCCAUUCCUUUUUAUCCUGAAGAAAUUCUUGUUACCGUGGCCUUAGCUUCUCCUCCCCAUAUAAGUUGAUGCGGUAAUGAGAUAAAAAGGAAUGCAUUGCUUAAAAAACUCAUGAUUGCAUAUUGUAAUCGCACUUGAGUGCUUUCUUAUUUAGUGGAAGGAUGCUCCACACUCAUCAAGUACUAGAGAUCGAUGGAGGACGGUGGUGAGAUCGAUGAAAUGCUACACCAAAUUAGAGGUGAAUUUCAAUUUCUUUAGAUGUCUCAUGAUGUUGACAUGAUGUAAACAUCCAAAUUUUGUGAGUUUUUUUAUUUUAUUUUAUUUAAAGGUAGAAAAGCGAUGAUUUCGUUUGAUUUAAUCUGAUUUCAAUGAAUUUAGGAUUCCAUUUGAUUUCAUCUUAAUCAUGUUUACUUGAUUUUAGUUUCCCUUCUUCUUAAAUAAGAAAAAUCCUAUUACCGUUAAUAUUGGCUUUGGCAUCAGAAAUACAAGGCGUGAACCUUCCGUGAACACGUACUGUGGAUGUGUUGCAGGUCAUGGAAUUGGAAAGCAGACAUUGAAGCAGGGUUUUUCUUUAUCUUAGUGUUCAGAUUUGUGCAUUAUUUUAUAUUUUCUUAUUCUGCUUGCUUAGUAAUUUUUGUCUUUUUUAUUUUUCAUUUAAAUAUAAUUAUUUUUAGGGUAGGUUUAAAUAAACUUUUAGUCCCUGCUAAAUAAAUAUUUUUUUUUCAUCUCUAGGAAAGAUUAUUUUGUUUAACACCCUCCCAAAAUUUAACAUUUUAUUUUUAGUCUUUACUAUCACAUUUUUCAUCUAACCUACACGGAAUUACACAUGGCAUUAAUUGUGUUUAUUCCACUUAGAUUCGAUGAAGAAUGUGAUUAUUAAGCAAAUUUGUCUUUGAGAUAAGUAAAUUUAUGUAUGGGUAUAAAGAUAACUAAAUUUAUGUAUCCAAAUUAGGAAUAUAUAUUAUAGGGGAAAUAUUUGAUAAUUUAAGUAUAAUGGAAGCUAAAUCUUGGAUUAGGAAAAUAUAUUAUAUGUAAUUUGAAGACUAUGCAAUUAUGAUUCGUUGAUAUUUCAGUACCAACAGAGACGCAACCCAAAGAGGAUGGCAAGAAGCUCAACCUUGAGAAUUUCAGAGACACCAACAAAGGCAGAGAAACCAAACAGCCAGUGUCCCGCACCACGCCACCCGCUCCUGACCGCCCUAGGUUACCAAGAGAAGAUCCAUCAGUAUUCAAAGCCACCCAACCAUCUAGCGGCGCACGCCAUUUGACCCAGCGAGGCUCACGGGUAGGGCCCAUCGCAACCAGGCUCUCGCGCAACACACAGUCUAUCCCAGCAGCGUGGUGGAGAACUAGCUGCCAAGGCUCAAGGAUGUUCUCAAAGACAAACUUGCAUCGUCUUCUAAGUAGAAUAAACACAAUUAAUGCCAUGUGUAUAAAGAUAACUAAAUUUAUGUAUCCAAAUUAGGAAUAUAUAUUAUAGGGGAAAUAAUGGAUAAUUUAAGUAUAAUGGAAGCUAAAUCUAUAUAUUUGGAUUAGGAAAAUAUAUUAUAUGCAAUUAUGAUUCGUUGAUAUUUUUUAUAUAGGUAAUCGUUACUAGUAUAAUUAAAUAGAUUUCUUAUUUGAUUAAAUAUAUAUGAUCUUCAUUAGUAUAAAUUAGGGAUGGCAAUGGGUUGGAUCGAGCUGGGUUUUGCCUUUCUUAAUCUCAAACUCAAACUCCCAUACCCAACCCAAACUCAAACCUGUCGAAUUUUGGGAUUAUACAAACUCAUUGUAGCCUCAAAUCCACAUAUAUCUAUCUAUCUAUCUUCUAUUAUUAUAAUAUAGGAAUUGUGAAGCGCGGAUUCUAGCGCCGACACAUCAGCGACACAUAAUACAAAUUUUGCCAUGUCAAUAAAAUUCCAACGUGGACACCUCCAAAUUCUUCCAAUCCCUUCUGCACUUCUCCUCUGUGCUUUCUUUUGGUUUCGUUUUCUUCGUUCCACUAUCCUUUCUUCUCCUGUCUCACCCUUUCCGUGCAAUCCAAAAGCCACUAGAAAGCUCGCUCUUCAAUUCGCUUAACACAGCUCAAGCCAAAGCCACUCAACUAGCUCAUGUACCGUGACCCUCGACAGAUCUCAAAGCCACCCGUUGUCUGUUGAUAUAUCCUCUCGGAGCUCCUCGACCGUGUCAUCAAAUCCCUAGACGUGUUCAAUGUCGCCGCCGUCGGGCUCGACCCCUGCCGCUGCACAGUACCUUCUUCAUGAAUAUAAGCUUUGCCCUUCUGCCACUACCCCAAUCCUGAUGCGGUGAUGCCUCACCCUUUUUCUCCCACCUCACUCCUCAACCACCCUCGCAAAGGAUCAUCGACAACGGUCUGCCCCCUCUUCCUCCACCAAUCGCUUUGUUGCUUCGUCAAAUAAUGUCGUAAGCUCCUCUACAAAUGAAUGACCGACGACCGAGUUACAAUGGUUCUUGAGCGAGUGCUGUUUUGGUGACCUAUGCACUCUUCGACGAUGAUGUUAUCUAAACUAAAUGAUGAACCACACUUCGAGCCCCUCAUCUUUAGCUUGUGGAAAUCAAUUAAGUAAAAAUAAAUUAAGAUGUUGAAGGUAUAUUAUAUUUUUAUCUGCACGACUUCCUUGUGAGAAGUUUCUUUCGUUUCUUUCUGUGUUGCUUGGAAAUGUGUUCUAUAUUUUUUAUUUUAGUGGUGAAACUGAAGAUACGGUAACAUAAUAUGAAUAUAAACAUUGUUACCUCUGGCCAAAUCAAGCAUUGAACCAGAUUUCCUUAUUCUCUUCUUAUAACUCAAUGUUUUCUCACAGAUUUUUGAAUUUUGGGUGUGUGAUAAUUGAUGAAUCUAUACAAGAAAUCACUAGAUACAUUGUUUAAAAAACGUGGGGAUGUUAGCUGGUUAAUUUGCUCCAUUUUUAAUAAUUGUUGGUCCAGUUGUAAUCAAUAUGACCAUAUCUAUUUAUAUUACAAGUUUACAACAAUAGCUACAAUACUAGCUGAGCAAUACCUGGGCACAGAUACAAGCUAUGUUAUUUUCUAUUCUUUGAAAAGAUUCAACAUCGACACAUACAAUAUUUAGCACUUGCAGAAAAGGCUGUGGAUGCUUACUACAAGCUCAGCAAUACCUGGGCACAGAUACAAGCUAUGUUUUUUAUGGUAAGUCAUUUGUGAUUUACUUUAAAAAUUUGGAUUUUGUGUGCACUUGCAGUGCAUUUUUAGAUUGAGAUUGAUUUGUGUGCAGCAGUGCAUAUAAGUUAAGGAAAAAUUCUUUUAUGAUUUACAAGCUUUCACCAAUCAUGCUUUAUCCCUCAGCAAGGUCAUUGCCGCCUUCGAAGUAAAUUUCUGUUAUGAUUUAUUUUCUAUGUUUACAAAUUCAAUUGUGAAUUCUGACAAACAAACUAUCGUGUGUUGUUUGACUUUUUCAAUUGUUCCUAUAAAAAGUUGUGAAGACCUUAUGUUCAAAGGUAAAGUUACUGUUAAAGGCUCUACCCUCAGGUUUGUUUGUUUCCUCUACCAUGAUUUUUCUUCAUUCUUCACAUAGGUUUUAGCCGGUUCUUCUACCAUGAUUUAUGUUUCUUUUUAUAGAUGUCAAUUGUAGUGGGUUUGAGGGCUGUGAUUCGUGAAUGAGUUAUCAAUCACUAAGUGCUUGGAGACUGGUAGACAAGUUGGAUUGAUUUGUUAUGUACCAUUUAUUCCAACUCCUCACGAAGGUGAUUCUUACUGGAUCUCACUAACUUUCUCUAAAGAAGUCAUUUUAAGUACAUAAUCAUAUUCAAGUUUAUUGGGUGCCUAACUUAGGGAGAAAUGACUUUUGUCUCAUGAAGAACAAAAAAAAUCAUUCUAAGUACCUAUUUAGUCACAACUUGGACAAGUUUGGACACCUCUUAAAUAGUCUUAUGCAUGUUGGAGUAUCACCAAGACUUAAGUAGUAAAUAUUAGUUGUUAACAAUGCAUGUGUAUAUCCACGAAAUUCCUUGGAACUGUAAUGGUUGUUUAACUGAAUAUAGACACUUUGGGGGAUUGCUUAUUUGCAUAUUUUUGCGUUUGAUUAAAUAAAGGUUUUAGUUGGUCCAGUUUCGAUUUUAUAUCAUUUUGGCUUUAACACAAACAAAAAGCAUUUUGUGAGGAUGAACACAAAAUUUGUAGGUGGAAUUGAAGGCAAUCAAAAGGAACAUCUUCACUAACUUGGGUCUUAUCAAAAUUUGUCCAUUCAUUAUUAAACUUUUCUCACAUUCAUAUACAUUCUAAAGAUUGCAUCUAACAAAGGCAUUAAAAUUAUACAAGACCAUAUUACUAUUCAAAAUUUGUAUACCCUUAACUUCGUUGUGUUUAUUGUCAUUAAGAUUUAAAAUAUUACUAAAUCAGUAUUACGCCCGCGCGUUCGCGGGUUACCAUCUAGUUUUUACUUAACUUGAUGCAUAGACCUUUUUGCAAAAUAAAAUGCAACUAAUAUUAUUUUGUUGUAAAAGAACCAUUUUAUAUCAUUUUGCAUAAAAAUGUGGUAUCUUGUUGUUCAAAUAUAAUCAAAUUGUUAACAUGGUAUAUAUAAGAGUAGUUUUGUAAUUUCAUAUAUAUUGUUUGUGAUCGAGUGCGGGUUUCACCAAUACCAAACUCAAACUCAAUCGUAUCAAGUGUUACCCGUCAAAUUGAGUCGGCUUCAAGCAUGACCAUAAGUUUGGAUUAUAUUGUCAUCCCUCGUAUAAAUAGAGAUCAGUGUUUUAUCGUUGCUAACAUACAAACAAUAAAUUAUCAAUACAGAGUUCUCGUCAUUCUCUUUCUUUUCACAACACUAACCGCUUGCUCCUUGUGAUUUCGCAUACCUUUAAAAAAAACAUGAUUACAACAAGAGAUUGUGAUACAAUUUUGAUCAGUGUUUUACCUUUAAAAGGAUUAUUUUUUAAAGGACCCUUUAUAUAGUUCUUCCCAAACAAUGAAACAAGUGUCAUUUUCAAUUGCUUAAUACCUACUUGGUAAACCGAAAUAAAAUUUUCUAUGUAUAUGCACAAAAUCUAUAGGUUUAUACCAAUUGAAACAUUAAUUCACUAUUUUGACCGGUUAUCUAGUAGAGUGUUGGUGAUUUUAGAAUCAUCAAUGUAUUUUAGUAGUAAUGUGAUCUACUAUAGGCUGAUGCAAUUACGCGUUAGGCUCGGAAUCGAGUCAGGUUAGUGUAAUGUGCACGCUCGGUGAGCCAACGCAUAAUUGACCGCGAAUAUGAACCGGGGUCCAAGGGGCGGAGCCCCUGGCUGGGGGCCAUGCGGGGUGCGGGGCAGCGCCCCGUUCGCAAUUUUUUCUGAACGUUUGUGACCCUAGUUUGAAAUUGUUUGAAAAAUUGUGACUUAUUUUUGAACAGUUGUGAUCAUUCGUGCAACCUCUUAUAUAAGGUUACUUGCAGCCUAAGGAAUUGAUACAGGAAAACAGAAACAGAAAAAAAAUCAAUGUAAGUUUUAUAACACCAUAAUCAAGUAUCUGAGGCGGAAGCAUGGAACUAUUAAGUAACCGAUUUUCAAGUUCCCAAAUGGUGAAUGGUGUAGGGUUCGAACCCUGAUGAUGACUAAGUUACUAACAAUUAACAUUUACCUAUAAAAAAAAUCAAUUAUCAACAGACUUGUUUAUUUUUAUGCAAAAUCAAUAGGUUUAUACCAAUUGAAACAUUAAUUCACUAUUUUGACUGGUUAUCUAGUAGAGUACCUCUAAUCUAGUAAAAAAUCAAUGUAAGUUUUAUAACACCAUAAUCAAGUAUCUGAGGCGGAAGCAUGGAACUAUUAAGUAACCGAUUUUCAAGUUCCCAAAUGGUGAAUGGUGUAGGAUUCGAACCCUGAGGAUGACUAAGUUACUAACAACUAACAUUUACCUAUAAAAAAAAUCAAUUAUCAACGAACUGAACUUGUUUAUUUUUAUGCAAAAUCAUUUUUUUUAUGUAGAAUAUGUUUUUGAAUAUCCUCCUUUAUAUAUUAGUUUUCCUUGUAGCCAAACAUACUUUUUUUUGUAUACAUCGGAAAAUAAUAUACUUUAUUUUUAAGAGUACAACCAUUCAACUACAACUAUCUAUUAAUUGAAUUUUAAUGAAUAUCACACACUAAUAACUAAUUAGAACAUGUCACACGUAGGUGAAAUAAUAAUUUUCACCUUAAAUUUUAAUUAAAAUAAAAUUAUAUUUGCUGAUGUAACAAUUAAAUUGGGUGAAUGUGUAAAAUUUUAAUGGACACAUAUUAAAUUCUUCUUAAUCAUCAUCUAUGCUUAAACUAAAAUAAAAAACCAAAAUGUGGGUAGCCAGAGCACCCGUCGCGUCGUCUCAUUAAAUCUAGGAACCCACCCUACUGGCUAUCAAAGAGGUGCAAGCAACCCAUCAGAUCAGACACCGCCGUAUGGGUCACUUCCAAUAAAAGCCCUCACUCGAGCAUUGAAAACCAGCGUCAACACGCAGGUUUUGGUGGUAAAUAACGCGAAAACACCGGGGCAUUAAUUCAACUCAUCUUUUCCCGCCCAAACUCACGCCCUUAACAAAAUCAAACUCAAAAAAAUUAAAAAAUUAAAAAAAAAAUCUAAACUCUCCUUUUAAUUCGCUGUUUCUCCACUCCACUCCACUCCACUCAAGACAAACCCCACUGUUUUUCGCGCUCGGUUCAUCUUCCCCACUCUUCUCUCUUCCAGGUACUGUAAAUCGCAACCCUAGCGUCAUUGCUUUUCAGUUUUUCUGUUCUCUUUUCAUUUUCCCCUUUUGAUUUUGUGAUUGUAACCGUUCCUGCACAUUUUAGGGUUUGAAAAAAUGGUGACGAAGGACAAAGUGAAAACCGAAGAUCCUGCUGUUGAAUCUCCCACUUCGGUCCUAGAAGAUGAGGUAUGCUAUUUUCUGUUUUCAUUUCUUCGAUUCCCUCUUUUUCAGUAACCGCUUUCAAAUCGUGAAUGUUAAAUGAUGAUGUUAUUUCAGUAACCGUUACUCGCAAACUAUGAUCUAAUCUUCAACUGAACUGUUGAUUUUAAGAACCUGCGUGAUUUUCGCUCUUAGUGUUGUCAUCGUUUCGCGAUGCGGAGUUGCAGUGAUUAGUGAAGCUUGUGUUGUUGUUAUGCUGAUUGAGGCUUUGUUUGUUUUUGUUAAUUUUUUCUGCGUGUGGAAAUUGGUUUUGAUGUUUGCUACUUUUGAAUUUUUGAAUUGUUCUGAACUUGAAGGAUGCCUGUGGCAAGGAAGGGGAAGUUAAGUUGGAAGAAGAGGUGAUUGUGGAUGUUAAAGAUGAUGGAUCCUCCCUUUUGCCGGAAUCAAUUGCGGAGGAGGAAGAGAAGUUGCUCAAAGCUCGGAUUCAGGAAGAUGAAGUGAAGUGUGAGGAGGCACCGGACCUCAAUGAGACACAGUUUGACAAAUUGGAUGAGCUUUUAACGCAAACCAAGCUGUACUCUGAGUUUCUUCUGGAGAAAAUGGAUGACAUCACGCUUGUAUGUUCAUUUUUUGCCGCCAUUUUGCUUAUAUUGUGUCAACCUUUUGGCUGUGUCAACUUAUAUUGUUAUUUUUUUUAUUUCAAGAAUGGGGGCGAUAAAGAGAAUGACGCUGAGGCUGAGGAGGAGAGUAAUCCAGCGGUGAAGAAGAAGGGUCGCGGAGGAAAACGAAAAGCAGCUUCACAAUGCAAUACAGUGAGUACAUUGUGCUUGUAUGGAUUUUUGUUGUUUUCAUGUUGUCAGCAAGGUCACUGUAUAUUAGAUUAUAUGUGUACAUGAGUUGCAAAAAUUAUGAAAUUGUACUUUAGCUUAGUGUUUGUUGAACUCUUGAUGGGAUGCAUAAAUUAAACACUGAUAUUGUUUUCUUUGUGUUCAAUGCAAUUUGAUUAGACAUUGUUUGACCAUUGGUUUUAAACAUGCAUAUUUUAGUUUUCUUAUUAACUUCUAUUUAUUUGUUAUGUGACCUUGUUUGAAAAUUAUAUUACUUUAGAGGAAGGCCAAAAGGGCAGUUGCUGCCAUGCUUACAAGAUCUAAAGAAAGUGAGCAGACUGAAGAUAUGAACUUGACUGCGGAAGAAAGAGUUGAGAAAGAGCAGAAGGAGCUUAUCCCUUUUCUCACAGGUGGAAAAUUGAAGUCUUACCAACUAAAGGGUGUAAAGUGGUUGAUCUCCCUUUGGCAAAAUGGUUUGAAUGGAAUUCUUGCGGAUCAAAUGGGUCUUGGGAAGACAAUUCAGACAAUUGGGUUUCUUGCACAUCUGAAAGGCAAUGGUCUGGAUGGGCCAUAUAUGAUAAUUGCUCCUCUAUCAACACUCUCAAAUUGGGUGAAUGAGAUUUCUAGGUAGACCAGAUGUUUUGUUAAAGAAUUUUGGCUAUUUAAAUAUUAUAGCAUAAUGGUAUGCUUCUCCAUUGUGACCAUUAUUUUUAUGAAUAAAUAUAAAUAGGUUUGCACCAUCGCUCCCAGCUGUUAUCUACCAUGGUGACAAGAAACAGAGAGAUGAAAUCCGAAGGAAACAUAUGCCUAGAACAAUUGGCCCAGAAUUUCCCAUAGUAAUUACUUCUUAUGAGGUUGCUUUAAAUGAUGCCAAGAAACAUCUCAGAGCAUACCAUUGGAAAUAUCUUGUUGUUGAUGAGGUAAACAAGUUCCGACAUUUGAAUGUCUGAAGACUUUUACAUUUAGCUGCAUGAAUAAGUUAUCAGAACUUUAAUAAUGAAAAGUAUGUAUGCUUCUGUUACAACCUUUUUUUUUUACCUCUGAAGGGACACAGGCUCAAAAAUUCAAAAUGCUUAUUAGUGAAGGCGUUGAAAUGCAUGACUGUAGAAAAUAAGCUUCUUCUUACUGGGACACCUCUUCAGAAUAACUUGGCAGAGCUAUGGUCGUUGUUGAACUUCAUUUUACCUGAUAUCUUCUCAUCCCUUGAAGAAUUUGAGUCAUGGUUUGUAUCCUAUGCUCAUUUGUUGUGUUUGGUCAUGCUUUUCUUCCUUUUCUACUGUUAUCUGAUGAUUGUUGACUCUGAAUUGAAACUUGAAAUUCUAAAUCUUUAAAUUUGAUAAUGUCUCAUUUAAUUGUGUGUGUAUAUUUUCUUAUUUAUAUACAUGAGUUAAAUAAUGCAUUCACUGUACCAAAUCAAACUUCUCAAUGACAAUGAGAUGUUUCUUUGACUUUAAUGUCCUUUUCAUUUGAAUCUGCUGUUUCCCACCCCACCCUCUUUUCCCAUAUCAAUUCUACCUAUGCAAGGUCUGUUUGUCUUCCUAACCCAAAUGUUUCUUGCGGCUUUGAUAUGUACUCUUACCCAUGCGCAGUAGUUAUUUCUAUGUUAUUUGGCAAUAUUGGUUUGGUUUCCAAUAGUGCUGAAGGAAACCUUAUGUGUGCCUGUGUUUUACUUUCUUUUAUACGACCCAAUUUCUUUGUAGGUUUAAUCUGUCAGGCAAGUGCAGUAAUGGAGCAACCAAGGAAGAACUGGAAGAGAAAAGAAGAGCCCAAGUAGGCAAUCCAAGAUUGUUUCUAUAUGCUAGUUGUCCAUUCUUUACAUGCACUAGAAGGCUCAAUGGCUUUAUUGUAUGCAGGUAGUAGCAAAGCUUCAUGCAAUUCUUCGGCCCUUUCUCUUGCGUAGGAUGAAGGCUGAUGUUGAGCUGAUGUUGCCACGGAAAAAGGAGAUAAUUAUCUAUGCAAGCAUGACUGAAAAUCAGAAAAGCUUGCAGGAUCAUUUAAUUAACAAGACAUUGGGGAAAUAUUUAGAAGACAAAAUGUCAAUUGGUUAGUUUGAUUUCCAGCUUUUCCUUUGAAAAAGUGUUUUUGUACCUCCUGUACGUUGAUUUCUUUUCUUUCUAAGAAAAUAUAUUUAGUCAGAUCUAUUUUAUGCUGUUGAUUUCUUUUCUUUCUAAGAAAAUGUAUUUAUUCAGAUCUAUUUUAUACUAUUGAUUCUUUUCUUUUCUAAGAAAAUGUAUUUAUUCAGAUCUAUUUUAUACUGUUUUACUGCAGGACGUGUUGGGGCAAAGCUUAAUAAUUUGGUCAUUCAACUUAGAAAGGUCUGCAACCAUCCAGACCUCGUAGAUUCAGCCUUUGAUGGCUCACGUAAGUAUCGCGUGAUCGAAUGGUUUUGCUGCUUUUACAUUUUUAAUAUUAGGAUUAUUAACCAAGCUAUAUUUUGCUUUCUUGAUAGAUUUUUAUCCUCCUGUAAAUGAGAUAGUUGAACAAUGUGGAAAAUUCCAUUUGCUUGACCGAUUGUUGCAGCGGCUGUUUGCUCGCAAUCACAAAGUAUGCUUUUCAGUGCUGUAUUUAUCUUCUAACUUCCUUUUAUGUUGCCAAGCCGGUACUCAUGUGCAUUUGCCUUUGCUAACUACUAUCAGGUUCUGAUCUUCAGUCAGUGGACUAAGGUGUUAGAUAUAAUGGACUAUUAUUUCAGUGAAAAGGGCUUUGAAGUUUGCAGGAUUGAUGGGAGUGUCAAACUAGAGGAAAGGAAACGACAGGUUUGUACCAAUGCAUGGAUUAUGUGACUUGAUCUAAUAAUUUGAAAUUACUUUUGUAUCGUAAUUUUGUUUUAGGUUUUGAAUAUUUAAUAAUGCAUCGCUUUUUAGAUGAUAUCUUGAAGCUGCAAAUGCACCUCAAUUAUAAAUAGCCAAGGAGAUUUUUCUAGUUGUUUUGCUACACAUGAUAUCUUGAAGCUGUAAAUGACAUGUUGUUAUUGUCUUCCUUUAUGCAUUAAUUUUUCCAUUAAAACUGAAACUUAGUGGUCAUCACUUGGGGACUCUGGCCCUGCCAAAGUGCCAAUCAUACUUUCUGAUUAUGAUGUAUGAUGACGAAAGGAAAUAGUGUUAUAUUUAUAGACAGGCUUGGUUCAGAAGUUGUAUGUCCUUAAAACACGGAUUUUUAUUGCAAUGCACUUAUGGUAUCAUCAGCUGUUAUAUUUGAGAAUAUUAAUCUUAAUUACUAAUCAUGGAUUGAAGAAGCUGAAUUAAGUAUAUUUCAUUGGUAUAUCUUCUGCCCAUGAGCAGAUCCAGGAGUUCAAUGAUGUAAACAGCAAUUGCAGAAUCUUUCUUCUUUCAACUAGGGCUGGUGGAUUGGGAAUUAAUCUCACUGCGGCUGACACUUGCAUUCUUUAUGACAGCGAUUGGGUACUUUUUUUGACUCUUUCGUCAUUUGGCGUGUUAUCUAUUUGCUUUACACAGUGUUAGAUUAUAAUCUGCUUAUGAUUUAAUUGUCCUCCAGAAUCCUCAAAUGGAUUUACAGGCCAUGGAUAGAUGCCAUAGAAUAGGUCAAACAAAGCCUGUUCAUGUUUACAGGCUUGCAACUGCUCAAUCUGUAGAGGUACGUGACAAUAUUGUAUUUUAAGUUAAGCACAGUGUGACUGUUGGCUUACAUUGAGAUGGAAAUGACAAUCUGUUUACAGGGUCGCAUGUUAAAAAGAGCUUUUAGCAAGUUGAAGCUUGAGCAUGUGGUUAUUGAGAAAGGACAGUUUCAUCAAGAACGUUCAAAGCCUGUCAAUGUGAAUGAAAUGGAGGUUUGUAUGUCAGAUGUCAGCAGUUGCUUGCCUAAGUUUUCUUAUCUUUGUUGUUCUUCCAUGUCAACCUGCUCAAGCAUGCCAAUGAUAUGGAAAAUGUUGUUUUGAUUGUCAGCUCAGUAUAACUUGUUUGUAUGGCUUUUUUUUUGGUCAAAACUUGUUUGUAUGGCUUGAAAAAACUAUAACUUGCCUAGAAACUGGCAUAAUAAUUCUUGGGUGGCCCAAUUAGAUGAACAUGCUGAGCUUUUAAUUAAUUUGUUAGUGUUAUAUAUUCAAGCUUAUACAUAUCAGACCUCAUUUUAAGGAAACUUUAUGGAGAUUCUUUGCCUGGUCAUUUUCAAUUUGCUAGAGCUAGGCUAUGUAUUUCAAUUUGUUUAGGUUGAAUGGAUUAAGCUAACUAAUAAGACUUACUCGAAAUAUGAAGUGAAGAGGGGAAUACAAAAUCUGGGACUAGCAUCAUUUUCAUUAUUGGGAUUUGGUUUUCUGGAGUGUUGCCUUUACCCUAUUUUGAUUUGGAGUUUGUGUGUGAUUUGAUAGGAGGAUGAUGUUUUGGCAUUGCUUCGAAAUGAAGAAACAGCGGAAGAUAAAAUGAUACAAACCGAUAUUAGUGAUGAAGACUUGGAGAAGCUCUUGGACCGCAGUGAUCUUGUUAUCAAUAGCUCAAAUGAUGAUGAAAACUUCAAAGCACCAGGAAUCUCAUUUCCCUUGAAAGGGCCUGGGUGGGAGGUGGUGAUUCCAACUGCGAGUGGGGGCAUGCUUUCUACCCUUAACAGUUGAUUUCUGGUUUGUACAAUAGAACUAUUUGUGGCUACUAAAACUUCUUUUUUUAUGAAAGGGCUAUAUAUGAGAUGCUCUCGUCCAAUGAUGUGAUGGGGUGAGCAUCCAAUUUUUUGUAAAUGCUUCUAAUGGAACUAGAUGUAGGAAGGAAGCUAUUUUCUGGUCAUGUUUUUUGCGAGUUGAAAUCCAUCACUUAACUUGUUUUGGACUUAUUUUAAUGAGUUGAAUCAGCUAGGGUUAGGAUCAUCUGAACUUGUGUUCUUUUUCCAGUGAACAAACUAUGGUUUUGUGUUCAGGAAAUUUACCCGCUAUAUAUCAGGUUUGUAGUGUAAACCAAUAUUUACGGAAAUUUAUUUCCUGAAUGGUUAGAGUUACACUAAUGGCCUGUAGUUCUCCAUAUCUGGUUGGAUAAAGUUUAUAAAAGGUCAAUGUCUUUUUGUUUAGGUAGUAAUACUCAUAUACAUACACUUUAGAUCUUAGGUUCCCCACAUUUUUCAGAAAAAAUGUUUUUGAAGUCUUCUUUCUUCCAUUAAGUAUCUGACCUUAUCUUCUCAAUCAUCUUUGAUAAUAUUGCUUUUAAAAGAUAAUUUGACAUUAAAACUAAACAUGAGCUCUUUUAGAUCAUUACUUGUUGUAGUGAUAUAUUUUGUUCAAUGUGCAAUUUAUUCCAGUGAAGGGCCACCGUUAUACCAGGCAGCAUAUAUAUAACUUUUUUUUGGUCGAAAACAUCAUAGAACAUUGAAUUACAAGAUCCUUGCAGCCCCGUUUGAAUAUCUGUUAAAAGCAUGAAAAUGAAAGAAAAAAAACAAAAGGUCUUGAUGCACUUUUUGUUGAAGUAUAAAUGGUGAAGAAAGGUGGUUAGACAAGGUAGAAAAGGAACUUUCACUAAUAAGAGUGUGUUUGUAUUACCAUUAACACAAAUGUGAAAGUCUUUUUUCUUAACUCUCACCUUAAUACUUGUCUCAACUUCUUGCGUUGGAAAACUGGUAGAAUGCUAAUUGGACUAGCUCCAACAAAAUCAUUUAGGUUCAUCAUCAUGCUAAAGAGAUCUUAUUAAUUAAUAGAUGUCACACUUCUAUUUGAGAUUCUGAUCGUUGAGAAAAAAAUUUCUAUUAUAUUUUAUUUUAUUUCAGUCUUAUUAUUCUAGUUAAUAUUUCAGCCUGUUAUUAGUUCAUGUUCUAGAAGCUAAGGUUUUACUAUAUAUUGUAUUGUUGUCGAUAAAAAAGACAACUAGAAAAUUGAUUAGAUGUCUUUCUUCUUUAUUUUUCUUAGCUUUAGAUUUUAGGAUUCUUAAUGUUCUUCCUUAAUAGAAAUUAUCUUUAUAUCAAUUGGUUCUUCCGGCACAUGGUAUUUACGGUCAAUUGGUUCUUUGAUAGGAAUUAUCAUCCUACAAAAGGAAUUAUCAUCCUAUCAAAACCACAUUUUCUCGUAAAUUUCCAACUAUAAGUAAGAGAAAACGUAAGAAUUUUUUUUCGAAACAUAUUCUAACUUAUUUCUAUAUUUUAAUGUGCUGUAAAUAAUAAUGCACGCUUCUCUUUUCCAUCAUAGAAACCUUGUCUACUUGUCUGCAUAUAAUGCUGUCUCAACGAAAUUAUAUGAAACAAUGCAAGCAUUGCAUAAUUCAAAAGGUGCUUAGUAAAGUGAAAAGAAUGUCUGUAAUUAAGUCUGAACUACGCUUGGUUUCUGUCUUUUCUUUUCUUUUUGUUGUCGUUUGAAUAGACCUUAAAUCCAAUCGGUGCACGAAGUUAUAUAUACCCCAAUGUUUAAAGAUGUUUUACUUUGUGGAGGCAGCAUUGGCCGCUAAUAGAGAAAAUGGGAAUAUUAAUUUGUAUUUACAGAAUUCAAUAUUAAAUAGUUUUCCUCAAUAUUUGUGACUUUAUCACUUUAAGAUUACGACACAUGUAUAUGUAUUUUAUUUUUAUUUAUUAAAAUUCCUAUUUGGUUUCUGGUUUUUUUCUACCAAAGGACAAAGGUAAAAACAACAAUAGAUUUAUUGUUUUUUAUAUUAGAAUGAUAAAUUGCUCUCUUCAGAGAUUGAUCUCUCCAACUUAUAUGUCACAAAGCUCUUAUCACUUGAGCUAUAAUUUGAAAACAUUAGGGCAUGUUUGGUUUAAGAAAACAUUUUCUAUUUUCAUUUUCUGAUUCUGUUUUCUGAAAAUGGUUUUCAUUUUCAAUUUUUCAAUAUUUAGAAAACAUGUUUGGUUUAACUUCCUAUUUUUUAUUUUCUGAAAAUAAAAUAUAGGAAAUGUGUUUGAUUCAACUAUUUCCAAAAUAAUUAUACACUUAAUAAUAUACAUGUAAAUGGUUUUCAUAAUAUAAUUAUAAUAUAUUUAAUUGUAAUUUUCUUAGAAGAUAUAUUUAAGCAAAAAUAUAUAUAUACACGUAUUUACAUCAAAUAUAAAAUUUAUAAUAUAAAUCUUGAAUGAUAUAAAGGAAUUUUAUGUUUAUAAUAUAUUUAUUUAAUAACCAAAUAAAAGUAUAUUUUUCUAUCAAAGACUUACGUAUUUCCUAUGGCAAAUACUUUGUCUACAAUACAAUCCGGUAAACCCAUUAAAAAAAUGAAACAGGAAAAAAAAAUAUUUAUAUGGAUGCAACUUUGCAAAAUGAGUUUCAAAUAAAACUUUACAAAAUGCAAACGGGUCUUUAAAAAAAACAUGCAAACGGCCCCACCAGUCCACCACUAUAUUUUCACAUCUCCAUGCAUUGCCAGCGUUUCAAUUGGAAAACAAAUGACAAAAUUUCUACUUUUUGAAGUCUGGCAGAGUCGAACACGCGACAAGGAGUUCAGUAGAAGGAAUCAGAACAGGUUUUAAUUAAAGUUCAAUUUAUUUACAAAAUUGCCACCCCGUUUUCAACUUUUCCAUUUUCAAUGUGGUUUGAGUGAAAACACAGAAAACGUCAAUUUUUUGUUUUCGAUUUUCCACCCUUUUUUGAAAAUAUUUCCUCUGAAAACAUUUCCAAAAACCAAAAUAAACAUGUUUUCUACUAUGGAUGCAACUUUGCAAAAUGAGUUUCAAAUAAAACUUUACAAAAUGCAAACGGGUCUUUAAAAAAAACAUGCAAACGGCCCCACCAGUCCACCACUAUAUUUUCACAUCUCCAUGCAUUGCCAGCGUUUCAAUUGGAAAACAAAUGACAAAAUUUCUACUUUUUGAAGUCUGGCAGAGUCGAACACGCGACAAGGAGUUCAGUAGAAGGAAUCAGAACAGGUUUUAAUUAAAGUUCAAUUUAUUUACAAAAUUGCCACCCCGUUUUCAACUUUUCCAUUUUCAAUGUGGUUUGAGUGAAAACACAGAAAACGUCAAUUUUUUGUUUUCGAUUUUCCACCCUUUUUUGAAAAUAUUUCCUCUGAAAACAUUUUCAAAAACCAAAGUGAACAUGUUUUCUAUCCCAUUUUCUAUUUUCAAUGAAAAUGAAAACAGAAAAUGAUCAAACCAAACAGGCCCUUAAAAUAACUAUUAAACUUCAUAAUAUAUCAUUUAUAUCUAUUAUUAAUUCCGUUUUUUCAAUGUUCCUAUCACUACUAAAUUAAAGUACAAUUGACAAAACAUAAUUACAUUCUCUUAAAAUUUGUAAAAGUAACAAAUUAAAAAAAAUGUAAAAAGAAAAGGAGGCAAGGAGCUAUCAUGAACAAUGUGGGUCUUAAUGAAAACGUGGGAAAUAAAUCCAAAUUCGUGAGUGUUCCUUUGACCAUGGAUCUCAUGUUGAUAGAGAAAAUUCGCUUUUAUUGGGUUUGGAGGAAAAUUGAGCCUGAACUAGAUGGAAUGGGGCCGAUUAAGAUACAGGGCCCAACGCCAAACUCAUCUAAUGUAAUAAUUAAAUAAUAGUUUUUUUUUUUUUUAGAUAAGGCCAAAUUUGUUUUGAAAGAAAGUGCUCUGCUAGGGUUUUGAAGGAAAGUGUCGUCCUUCUCCCCUUGGGGGCUCCUCCCCCUUGGGGAGCUUCUCCUCCGCUAGGGAGGCUGUUCUCUCCUGCUUGGUAGGCUUUCUCCCACAAUAGGUGGGUUCUCCUCCACAUUAGGUGGAUUUGUUACCCAAAUAGGUGGGUUUUUCUCUCUUUUGUUCNNNNNNNNNNNNNNNNNNNNNNNNNCCACCCCGCGCCCGCCGUGGACCACACCCACAAACCGCCGCGAGUUGUGUCGUAGAUCCAGGCUUGCCGCUGCCGUGGGUACUGCUACAACCCAGAUCUGAGGCCAUCUUCAUUUUCGCCCAUCUUUGAGUGGCCUAGGUCCCCCCGGUCGCGCCCCCCCCCCCGCCGUGCCGCCACCGCCGUCGUGCCUCAGCUGCGACCGUCUCCGUUUCCCUCCUCCCAUGUUAUGCUCAGAUCUACAGAACCCUCUUUUCCUAAAUGUUGGUGUUGUUGACUAGGCUACCCUUUGUGCCUUGAAGUCAUGUCUGCUUGAUUUGAGGAAGGNNNNNNNNNNNNNNNNNNNNNNNNNNNNNACACACCACUCUAAAUGUCUUUUUGACUCACUGAUGUUUUCUGAGGAUUGAAGAGUUUCUGUAGGUCUUUUAGUUUCAUUGAUUAUUGGUUCUAGCAUGAGUGAGCCUUGGUUUAAAGUUUUAACUGUGUUGCUUUAUUGUAUCACUCUUUGAUGUUGUAAGUGAACUACUUUGAGUUCCCCCUUGUAGAGCCGUAUAUGCAUCAGGCUGGGCUCGUCCGAACACCUCUGGUUUAUGUUCAUCUUGUAACAUGNNNNNNNNNNNNNNNNNNNNNNNNNNNNNNNNNNNNNNNNNNNNNNNNNNNNNNNNNNNNNNNNNNNNNNNNNNNNNNNNNNNNNNNNNNNNNNNNNNNNNNNNNNNNNNNNNNNNNNNNNNNNNNNNNNNNNNNNNNNNNNNNNNNNNNNNNNNNNNNNNNNNNNNNNNNNNNNNNNNNNNNNNNNNNNNNNNNNNNNNNNNNNNNNNNNNNNNNNNNNNNNNNNNNNNNNNNNNNNNNNNNNNNNNNNNNNNNNNNNNNNNNNNNNNNNNNNNNNNNNNNNNNNNNNNNNNNNNNNNNNNNNNNNNNNNNNNNNNNNNNNNNNNNNNNNNNNNNNNNNNNNNNNNNNNNNNNNNNNNNNNNNNNNNNNNNNNNNNNNNNNNNNNNNNNNNNNNNNNNNNNNNNNNNNNNNNNNNNNNNNNNNNNNNNNNNNNNNNNNNNNNNNNNNNNNNNNNNNNNNNNNNNNNNNNNNNNNNNNNNNNNNNNNNNNNNNNNNNNNNNNNNNNNNNNNNNNNNNNNNNNNNNNNNNNNNNNNNNNNNNNNNNNNNNNNNNNNNNNNNNNNNNNNNNNNNNNNNNNNNNNNNNNNNNNNNNNNNNNNNNNNNNNNNNNNNNNNNNNNNNNNNNNNNNNNNNNNNNNNNNNNNNNNNNNNNNNNNNNNNNNNNNNNNNNNNNNNNNNNNNNNNNNNNNNNNNNNNNNNNNNNNNNNNNNNNNNNNNNNNNNNNNNNNNNNNNNNNNNNNNNNNNNNNNNNNNNNNNNNNNNNNNNNNNNNNNNNNNNNNNNNNNNNNNNNNNNNNNNNNNNNNNNNNNNNNNNNNNNNNNNNNNNNNNNNNNNNNNNNNNNNNNNNNNNNNNNNNNNNNNNNNNNNNNNNNNNNNNNNNNNNNNNNNNNNNNNNNNNNNNNNNNNNNNNNNNNNNNNNNNNNNNNNNNNNNNNNNNNNNNNNNNNNNNNNNNNNNNNNNNNNNNNNNNNNNNNNNNNNNNNNNNNNNNNNNNNNNNNNNUUGCCUAAUUGCUUAGCCCUAACCGAAGAUUUAGACCGGAACAAAACUCUUUUAAGGAAAAUGUUGCAUGAGUUAUAAAAUUUUAAUUUAUAUAUUAUUUUAAGUUUUUAAUUAUAUAAGAAAAAAUUUAUUUAGUUAUAAUAUACUAUAUGUAUAUAUGUAAUUUGUGGAAGCAAUAUAUAAAAAAAAAUUAUAACUAAUUUUUUUCAUUAUUCUAGCAUUUUUUAUGAUUUUAAAAAUCAAGUUUCACUCUUUAUUAUUAUUGUUAUAAUUUCUUUUCGAUAAUUUCAGUUCAAUCUCAAAUUGUUAUAUUAAUAGCUUAAAAUUUUAAGCCAAAAAAAAAUAUUAAUAGCUUAAAAUUUUCAUUAUCAUCUAAAAUUGAAACAUAAUAAGCUCACUUGCUCUAUGUGUGUAAAUAAUUUCCAAUCAUUAAAUUAAUUAGAUAAAAUUAACACACUGAGAUAUCAAAUUAAUUAUAGUGUCAUGUAGCAUGCCCAACCAAAACUUUGAUACAUCACAUGAAUGAUUUCAGAUACGGGUGUGAUGAGUGGAGCCAUGAUAUUCAUAAAGGAUGAUCUCAAAAUCAGCGACACUCAACAAGAAGUUCUCGCAGGAAUCUUAAACCUAUGUGCACUUGUGGGAUCCUUAACUGCUGGAAGAAUCUCAGAUUACAUUGGUCGACGCUACACAAUCGUCAUAGCCUCUCUCCUUUUCAUGGUUGGUUCGGUUCUCAUGGGCUACGGUCCAAACUACGUAAUUUUAAUGGUUGGAAGAUGUGUUGCUGGUGUUGGCGUCGGCUUUGCUCUUCUAAUAGCACCAAUAUAUUCCGCAGAAAUAUCCUCUGCAAAAUCAAGAGGCUUUCUCACCUCCUUACCAGAGCUUUGCAUUGGAAUUGGAAUUUUACUUGGUUACAUUGCAAACUACUUCUUGGGAAAAUUGACAUUGAAGCUUGGAUGGAGAUUGAUGCUUGGUCUUGCUGCAGUUCCUUCACUUGCUUUGGCUCUGGGAAUUUUGGCAUUGCCAGAGUCUCCAAGGUGGUUGGUGAUGCAAGGGAAAUUGGGAAAAGCAAAGAAAGUGUUGUUGCAAGUUUCAAAUACAGAACAAGAGGCUGAACUUCGCUUCAAGGAUAUUAAAAUCGCUGCUGGGAUUAACGAGAGUUCCACAGAGGAAAUGGUUAUGAAGCUCGCUGGAAAAAACCAUGGUGAAGGUGUUUGGAAAGACUUGUUUCUAAGGCCUUCUAGUUCUGUUCGUUGGAUCCUUAUUGCAGCGGUUGGGAUUCAUUUUUUCGAGCACGCAACUGGAAUUGAAGCUGUGAUGUUAUAUAGCCCAAGAAUCUUUAAAAAAGCUGGUGUUACCACCAAGGACAAGCUCUUGCUCACAACAAUUGGAGUAGGCGUUACCAAAAUCACUUUUCUGAUCAUAGCAUCAUUUUUGCUUGACAAAGUUGGAAGGAGGCGCCUCUUACUUGUGAGCACAGGAGGAAUGGUAUGUAGCCUUACAGUGUUGGGAUUUAGCUUGACCAUGGUGGAUAGUUCUCAGGAAAAGCUAUAUUGGGCGUUGGCACUCAGCAUAAUGGCGACUUACAUUUUUGUUGCGUUGUUUAACAUUGGGCUUGGGCCUGUCACGUGGGUUUAUAGUUCAGAGAUUUUUCCUUUGAAGCUGAGAGCACAAGGGGCGAGUAUAGGAGUUGCGGUGAACAGGGUCAUGAAUGCUAUUGUUUCUAUGAGUUUUAUUUCAAUCUACAAAGCAAUCACCAUAGGAGGGAGUUUUUUCAUGUUUGCUGGUAUUUCUAUAUUAGCUUGGUUAUUCUUUUACUUCUUCCUACCUGAAACCAAGGGUAAGGCCUUGGAAGAGAUGGAGAUGGUUUUCAGCAAAAACUAUAAUAAAAAUGUAACCACAGAAACUGAUCUGAGACAGAAUGCAUAGUAUGUGUUUAUUUUGGCUGAACUUGGUGUAAAGCCUUAGAAGGGAAGAGAACUUUUGACAUCAUGUAAAUUACCCAGAACUAUCAUAAACCAUUCCUUGUGACUUGUUAUUACUUAAAAUGCUGGUUGCUUUUUAUGUCAUAUUUUUUACAUCAACAAAGAUUUUUAUUUCCACAUAUCACUUAGAGCCGGGUAAAAUUACUAUUAUGAGUGACAAAACUCUACUUACCAAAUAUUUAAUUAACCUACAUUUACAAAAAUUCUUACCCAAAAUAUUUGGUUAAGUUAGAACAAUUUCACACUAACUUAUUUUACAUUUUUUUGUGGUACAUCAUCAAAGAUUUAGACUUAUGUAGUUUAUAGCAUAGAACAUAAAUUCUCCAUAUAUGAAGAACAAAUUACCUAGAAACUGUGUUUCCUAGAUAAUGAAAUGAAUUUUGGACUUGAAAUUGAUGGAAUGUAAGUGAUAAUGCAAAAAUUAUGUAUUAAAUCUUUAAAUAGAAACUUAAUUUAAACAAAUUAAAACAAUGAGCUAUAAUUUGUGCCCACAAAUCACCUAAAAACAAGGAGAGCCUAUGGCAAAUGGAACCUACCUGCACCCUCUCAUUUGGUAUUUUCCUCAGAUAGCUCAAUGUUUCCCCUCCACAGGUAGAAACGGUUGAGAAACAUACAAAGAUCUUCAACCUUUGACUGUGAACCUCUUCUUUCUCUCUUUCUCUCAAUUUCUUUACUCGUCUUACCUCUUCCAUUAACUUUCAUGUCUCUGAGAUAAACAAAAAAUCAUAAAGAGAACAACAACAAUAAAAACAGUGACCCAGACACACUGAUGAAACAGGCAGCUGCAAGGUCAUCCCUGAGGAGGCUUUGUCCGAACAUCGAUAAAGAAGAUGGACUGGAAACCGUUCUUGAAAUUCCCAUACCGGAAGAAAUGUUUGCAAGCAUGGGAAGUAACGUGACAUUGCGGUGGCAGAACAUGUUAACGUGGAUGAAGGCUCAAACAGAGGAUAGAUUGGCUUCUCCUACCGUCGCGGCACGAUUAAACGAGCUUCGCUUUCUCCUUUACCUUGUUGGAUCCCCUCUCAUCCCUCUUCAGGUCCAAUUAGGCCAUUCCAUCCACCGUCCAGUCAGAGAUUGUUCCAUUGUAAGAACACACAAAUUUUCUUAAUUUCAAUGCAUGAUUGAUAAAAAAAUUUUUACAUGGUGCAACAAUUUAAGGGGAGGAUUGAUUUGAUUGUGUUGUAGGAAGCAUCGACGGCGAAGUACAUAGUGCAACAAUAUAUAGCGGCGACAGGAGGACAACCAGCAUUGAAUGCGGUGGAUAGUAUGUGUGUAACGGGGCAAGUGAAGAUUAGUGCAUCAGAUUUUCACCAUACAAGUGAUAGCACUGAGGUGAAGAAAACCAAUGAUGAAAUUGGAGGGUUUGUUUUAUGGCAAAAGGACCCAGAUUUAUGGUGCUUAGAGCUAGUUGUGGCUGGAUGCAAAGUUUGUUGCGGUAGCAAUGGCAGGGGCUCAUGGCGCCAUUCCACUAACCAACAAAACCCCAUUUCAAAAGGCGCUCCUAGACCAUUGCGUCGUUUCCUUCAGGUACAUUAAGUUUCUGGAUCCGUCACUGUUCGUAAUUUGAUCCAAUGUUUUAUUCCUUGGUCAAUGUAAUUGUUAAAAUUUAAAUGAUUUAUAUGUCAGGGAUUAGAUCCAAGGGCCACAGCAAACUUAUUUUUGGACGCUGCGUGCAUAGGAGAGAAAAUCAUCAAUGAUGAGGAGUGCUUCAUUCUGAAGCUGGAAACAAGCCCAGCAAUUCGUGAGGCUCAAAGUGGGUCAAAUUUUGAGAUUAUUCACCACACGAUAUGGGGAUAUUUUAGCCAGCGAUCUGGUCUAUUGGUUCAAUUUGAAGACUCUAGAUUGCUCACAAUGAGAACCAAAGAUGACAAUGACAUUUUCUGGGAAACUAGUCUAGAGUCAGUGAUUGAGGAUUAUAAGUAUGUGGAUGGGAUAAAUGUGUCUCAUAGUGGAACUACUCGAGUUACAGUUUCUAGAUAUGGUGAGCAAUCGGCAAACCAUAAAAGAGAAUUGGAAGAGAGGUGGAAGAUUGAAGAGGUAGAUUUUAAUGUGUGUGGUUUGACUGCUGAAAGCUUUUUGCCUCCCUCAAGCCUAAGGAAAGCAUAGGAAGAAAAAAAACACAAGCAUCACAUAUAUUAUGUAAUUGGAAAAUGAAGCAAAUGUUGAUUCUGAAGCAUGAAACUAAGGGUCUUUUGAAAUGUGCAAUUAUACAUUUCAAACAUUUGCUUUUUAUGUAAAACAACAACAUUUUGUUCAACAAAUUUUCUGCUCUUGAUUAUAGAAAAUAAUUGUAACAUAAUUUUAAUUUGUGGUACUAUAUUUACUUUAGCUGUAAAUAUCACAAAAUAAAUUAUAUAAUUUUUUUUUGUCACUAUUCUUUUUUUUCAUACUACAUUUCACUACCUUCGAUUUUGCUUAUAUGACACUAAAUUAUAUUUUUCUCUAAAAUAUACAUUCCUCUCCACCCAUUUUAAUAUUUGCAACAAAAUAUUUGAAUUCGUCACGAAAUACAUUGUUGACUUAUAAUCGGGAUGAAAUUAGUUACAAGUUUUAUAGAAAAAUAGUUUCUAUCACAAAUAUCGUCACUAUUUAGCAACAAUUUUUUAGCUCUACAUGCAAAUAUCGUCACUAUUUAUGCGAUACACGCAAAAUUUAACAAAUAUUUUAAAAUUAGUAAUAAAUAGUGAAGUUCCCAAAUGAUAGCAACAAAAAUCUCUUCUAAAAUGACAUUUUAGAUUAGUAGAGUUCAUGUAGUCAAUGAUGUAAUGAUUUACACAAAUUUGUUUUUAUUGUAACUAAAAUAAUAUCACCUCAAGGUUUUUAAUGCACAUCACCUAACUUCACCAUGCCCCUAAAAACCAAAUGCAUUUAAUAAAAUAGUACCAAUAUAAUUACUUCUACACCAACCUAGUUAUCGAAUCAAAUUUUCAGAUGAGCUACCACUUUUUGCUAUUGACGGUUGAUGACAUCUCCUGAAAAAUCAAAUUUCCUAUAUUCAAAUCAAUUUUUUCUUACAUAUUAUUUCCACUAAAAAACUAUCUUUCUUCAUUUCCUAUCACAUCGCUAAAAAUAACAAUAUGAGUUGACAGAGCGGAAUAAACCCGACCCACCAUCAACCAACCGAAAUGCGGGUUUUUGAGAUAACCCACUUAUUAUAUUUGGGUUGAAAAUCUCCACUCAACCUGCUAAAUACGCGGUCCAAAUAGAUGGACCCCGCUAAAUACGCGGUCCAAAUAGAUGGACCCAGUGAACUCAUAUUGUCACCCUACACAUCACCUACCAUAUAUCAUUUAUCGAUCUUCUAUUCUUAUUUUUUUUUUGAGACAAUGUAUUCUUUUGGAGACAAUCAUGUUCGAGUUGGGAACAUCUACAUCAUGACAGGACUAACUCUACAAGCGGAGAUUUUUCUAUCCACAAAACUCGAACUCGUAAUCUUGCUCAAGAAGAAUUAAACAUGUGUCAGGAUUCGAACCCCGGACAUUCCCCUCCUCAACCCUUAUGAUUCUAACUCUUACAACUUGAAUUAACUAUUUGUUCUUAUAUAAUUUUGUGUUUGAUGUAAGAUGGAAGUGUGAACACAUUUUCAUUUUCCCAAACAAAUCAUUAAAACGGUGCCGUUGGGUGUCGGUUGCCUCUUAAUGAGUGCCAACAUUGCCAUCAAAUCUUGGUGAACCGUAUCAACGGCAAGCAUAAUUCCACAUCAGAUGAUAGACCAAAGUCAACAAAAUCAAUCACAAGUAUGAUGGAAAAAUAAUGGCCCACACACUACAUUUCAUUAAUCCUUCCCUUCCAACGAAACACCAAAUCCGUCAUUUCAUUUCAUUUCGUUAUUUUUGCAUCUCACUGUAUCUAUCUCACUAACGCGGAGAGAAACUCACAUCAUCAUCAUCAUCACCAUUCAUUCAUUUAUUCAUUCACAUUCUUCUCAGAUCGGACUCAAUUUCUUCCUCUCCCCCGCAAAUCCGAGUCCGAAAGCGAUGAAGCUGAAGCCAGUGGAAUCACUUUUACUGUCUUAAUCGGUGUCUCUGUGUUGAAAAUCGAUUAUAGAUUGUUGAUUGUGCGGUGCGGUCCACCACCGAUUUAGAUCGAACGAGAAAUGAAGGAUGACGACGGGCUUCCAACCACGACGGCGCCGACUGCCAAGAAGGACAAUCUCGAUUCCGGUCUGUUUGGGAAAGGGAGGUACAAAUUCUGGGCAUUAGCCGCUAUCUUGCUUCUCGCCUUCUGGUCCAUGUUCACCGGCACCGUCUCUCUUCGCUGGUCCGGUAAUCUCAACUCCUUGUCCAACGACCUCGAUACUCCCAUCCACGAUGACCUCGAUGUCCUUGUAUGUUUACGGUUAUGAUUAUUCCCCUCUCUCUCUCUCGCUUUGUUAAUUGAAUUUGCGAUUUGAUUUUUGAGUUUGAUUUGUGUGUGUGUGUGUGUGUGUGUAGGAAAUGGAGGAGAGGGAGAAAGGGGUGAGGCACAUGUGGGAUGUGUACACCAACAGCCGCAGGAUCAGGUUGCCCAGGUUCUGGCAGGAGGCGUUUGAGGCUGCAUAUGAAGAAUUGACGAGCGAUGCUCCUGGGGUUAGGGAUGCUGCUAUCACCGAGAUCGCUAAGAUGUCUGUGCGUUCCAUUGAUUUUGAUCCACCUCCAAUCCAAUCCACGGUUCGUCCUUCUAUUUUAUUCUCUACGAUUAGGGUGUUGCUAUUGUUCAACAUCUACAAUUUUGAAAUACAUACUUUAUGGUGCUAUUGAAAUCUCUAGUGAAUUGUACUACUGUUUGUGCAUACUAUGGUGUUAUCUGUUUGAAGCAUAAGUUACAAAACGUUAUCAGCUUUCUUCAUCAGUGUUAUUUCGUUAUGCUGAUUGUUGAGACAGAGAUCUUGCUUGAUUGGAAUUGAAAAUUCAGUUUUCUUACUUUGAUUGGUUAACAUGGUGACUUUCUUGAAGUAACUUUCUAACAUCUCUUAUCUCUAUCUUCCAGCAGUCUGGUCAAACCAUUCUCUACAAAUUAACAAUAACCCCUCACCCUCACUAACUUUUUCAUUGGGAAGGUUUCUGUUGGGGGACAUCUAACCUUGGGGUUUUUUUGGGAGAAAAGAGAUCAAAGUUAACUCGGGGGAGCAUAAGAUGUCAUUUAUAAAAAAUUGUCUACUAUAAAAGCCAGUGCUCGAAUUUGCAUGACUUGUUGAGUCUCUGAAAACACAUUAAAUUAGCUGCAUCUGUGUUUCUUGAAUGCUACAAGCUAAUUCUUUUUUGUCUCUUCAUAAAAGAAAAUUACACUAUUAGGAUUUGGCUCAUCUAAAGUGAGGGAGUGACUUUAGAGGCUAAUGGAAGUCAAACAACCAUUGAAUGAAAAAUCAAUGGAUGAGAUUGUAAAUUGUAAUCAUGUGCUUCCACAUGUAUAACAAAGCAACAAGCUAUGAUGUUUUUUAAAUCUCAACUGUUGAUUUUUGCAACCUACGGUUUUGGUGACUUAUUUUACCCUAAAGUUACUCUCUCACUUUAGAGGAGCUAAAUCCUUGUUGAAUACCCCAUCAUGAUGGAUAUGGAUGAGUCCUUUUAUGGAGGCUUUGGUGAAUUGGAUGUUUUGGCAGCAUUAUGGACCAACUUGUAAGUUGUAACAAAGCUUUCAUAGAUUUUCCUUUUUUUUUCUUUUAAUUACACUUUUGGUUCCUCUUGUUUGACAAAGUCCAAUUUUCAUCAUCCGGUUCCAAAUAAGAACCUUCCUUCCUUGUUUUGGAGUUGAUGCCAACUUGGAAUGUAGUCUAGUCACUGUGUUUUGUGAUUCUACUCGAUGGUUGUGCCAUGCCAGCAAAAUGGCUGAUAUCGCUCUCUUUUUUCUUACUUGACCUCGCAUGGUUCAGCACCAUGUUAAUAAUUAACGAUGUGUCAACAGCAAUAAUAGAAAGAUCCCAUUUGCUUCAAUUUGAGAGACAUUAACAAAAGGGUUGAAAUUGGAGGGGAUAUAGAAAAUGUUAUGAUAGGUCCUUCCAUCAUUCUUUUGAACAGUUUUCAUUUAUCAUGUUAUGCGUUAUAACUAAUAUUACUAGCAUCACCAAUUUGUCUAGUUCAAUCUCUCAUUCCACAGCAAAUAGGAAUUUAAUAGUAUAAUUUUUUUGUUAAGGAUGAAAUUUAAAGAAAAACUCUUUAAAUUUUUAGUUUGUCUUUGAACAAAAUCCGUACAUGAUUGCAAGUUCUCAUUGACUAACUGAAUUUGUUUGUUAGUGAGGGUCUGUUGCAGUGUUCUUCACUAGGAGUUUCACACUAGGUCUUUUGAGAAACUAGAGGAAAGAAAGGUGUAGUUAAGCGGUGGAUUUGUUAGUCUUUUGUUUGCCAUUGUAUAUUGUAUAUUGUUAAAGAAAAAAAAACUGCAAUCGGCAUUGUUCAAUUAAGAUAACUUAGAAAUAAUGUGAUUACGAGGACAGUGUCUCCUUAUAAAAAGAAAAGGUAUUGAUAGGUUCUGAGAUUGCUCUUUUUUUCCUUUCUAUUGCCUGAUAUCCGUACUUAAUUAUAUGAUCAUUAUGUGACUCUGAAGGGUAGUAGAAGUAUUUACAGAAAGCAGAGAGAGAAUUGUAAUUUUAAUGUAAGGUAGCUUGCAUAGUUAUGUAUGUAUAUUGAUGUGAAUGUAUGAUUGCCAAUGUUGCUAAAUGUUAAUAUAUAUUAUUAAUCUAUGUGACCCCUUAUCUCAGUCUCAAAUUCAAAUAUGAUAGCAUAUAUGUUCUGGCCUGAUGUUUUCACUGUGUACCACUUCAGAGAGCCCAGGAAUUUAGCAAGAGUCUCAAGCAAGUUGAAAAAGGAAAAGGAGCAACAACCUCUAGGCGUGCUUAAUCGUUAGUGUCUGAAGCAUUCAAGGAUCUGGCUUGUGUUUGAAAAUGAUCUUGGGCUACUAGAAGAUUGUGAAGAGGUAGUGAUGGGCGAAGCCAUUCUCAGAUUUUUCAUGCUUCUAUAAAAUGGACAUUUAUGUAUUUUAAUAGGGUGUGGCCUUUCAAAUUUAGCAGUCAAGUUCAAUGUCUUCACGAAGUGAGUAGUAGUAAAUCGAAACACGACCUUUUUGAGCAGACAAAUUCAACUAAGUAUAUGUUUUCUAGGUUUAUUUCAAAGCAACUAAAUUCUAAAUUUCUCAUGCUUCAGUUAGUAAAAGGUUUUGGUACAUUGGCACUUACUUUUUUCCAUUUCAUUUCCACUCACUUUCUAUUCUUAUAUUUUC